UCGAAAAUUUCAUACACUGAUCAAUUGUGGUGGAGCAUUUGAAUUCUUGGAGUUUCUCAACUAGUUUUUCCACCUGUGGUGGUGUUUGAUAUCAAUUAAUUUGUUCUUGAAAAAAAAAUGAAAAAAAAAAUUGUCGGGAUCCCGAUCCCGUCCCGGUCCCGAUCGGGAUCGGGACGUACGAGAUAGAUUUUUAAAAACGCAUUCCCGUCCCGUCCUGUCCCGUCCAGUGCUCAGCCCUAGGCCCAGUAAUCAACUUGUGUCUUGUAAUCAGCUUCUUAUUCUCUAUCAAGUUCAGCCUACCGACACAACUAUUCCAACACCACAUAAACCAAUCAACUCAUUCACCAUAGAAGGAAGACAUAUCAUAUAUAUGGUGAUGCAUGUAUGUGUGAAAAAGUGUCAAUUAUUCAAGCUUAUGAUGAUGAUGAUGGUUUCGAAUAAAAAAUAGAGAAGAUAUUAAAGUUAGUUGUUCAAACGAGGCUAGUUAGCCCCCAAUUUCUACACACUUUCUAGUCCAAGCUCCUCUUGUAUAUUAAACAAUGACAACACAAUCUCAGGCAAGAAAUUUACGUGCAUCAAUCCAAUUUCGCCGAGCAUUAUACUGGAACAGUCGUUGGUUUACAAUUAGGUUCGACGUUUGGUUUUCGCACAUGUUUUUUUUAAAUAUAAUUGAAUUAUAAAUUAAAGAUGAGAUGAGUUAGAGUUAGAGUUAUUGUAGGUUAAGAGUUCAACGAUGUUAGCAUGGGUUAGCAGGGGUUAGGUGAUGUUCGCUCAUCUUUAACAUCUUUAAACGAAAAAAUUACUUUUUAGUUUUGGCAUUGUGGUUGAGAUCCUAAACCGUCGAUGUAAUCCACAAAGUACAUGUCUGAUCCUUAUAACAACUAUUUAGGUUACUCUAGGCCUCGUUUGGUUCGCGGAAUAGAAAGUGGUUCUUUCCUCUUUCCCAUGGGAAGAGAAAGAGAACGAGAAUGAAAUUUUACAAGAACUUUCCAUUCUGAUGUUUGGUAACAUCAUGAAAGUUUAUUGAAAAGUUGUUAAAGAGUUGAGAUUUAAUAUAAUAAAAAAUUGUGUUGUGAGUAAUAAAUGUAAAGAAAAAAAGAAAUCAAAGUGGUUCCUUAAGAUUUUAGAAAGAACCCCUUUCCCCCAUAUUUUCUCAUUAAUCAAGAAAGUGUUUCAUUUUCUUAUACUUUCCCAAACACCGGAAAAAAAUAACUUUCUUUUUCUGAUGCUUACUUUUCAUGAAAAAAACGAGACCUAGCUUUUACCCUUGUGUUUCUUUGUUAGUCAUCUGGUAGAUGAACAGAUUCGACAGUUCACAUUUUAGUGGAUAGAGAAUACCAGGCCUGCUCACCUGCGGACUACAAAUAAAGGGACAAAAAGGGACGAACUUCCCAUAGCCGUCAGAUUUUAAAUGAGUAGAUCGAACGGAAGGAAAAGACAGACCUGUAAAACCCGAAUCGUGUUAACCCAACACCCAAUCUCAUCUCUUUACUCUUGCAAAUACGACUCCCAAGCACGCUUAAUCCCUUAAUCUUCCUUCUCUCUCUUCUCAUAAUAAAUAUCUCAGUUCACAAUCCCUCUAAGCCUCCCCCAUAUCAGUAUUGAUUCAUCCUCAUCGUCAUAAGGCCGUCGAUCUAUAUCGUUGAAGGUAUUUGUCUUAGACUUUACUCUCUCUCUCUCUCUCUCUCUCUCUCUUCCUUUCCCNNNNNNNNNNNNNNNNNNNNNNNNNNNNNNNNNNNNNNNNNNNNNNNNNNNNNNNNNNNNNNNNNNNNNNNNNNNNNNNNNNNNNNNNNNNNNNNNNNNNNNNNNNNNNNNNNNNNNNNNNNNNNNNNNNNNNNNNNNNNNNNNNNNNNNNNNNNNNNNNNNNNNNNNNNNNNNNNNNNNNNNNNNNNNNNNNNNNNNNNNNNNNNNNNNNNNNNNNNNNNNNNNNNNNNNNNNNNNNNNNNNNNNNNNNNNNNNNNNNNNNNNNNNNNNNNNNNNNNNNNNNNNNNNNNNNNNNNNNNNNNNNNNNNNNNNNNNNNNNNNNNNNNNNNNNNNNNNNNNNNNNNNNNNNNNNNNNNCAAGCAAAAAAUGGUGUAUAAGUAAUUUCGAGGAGACUCAUACACAUGAACUUACAACACCCAGAAGAAUACAUAUGCUAACAUCACACCGCAAGCUCACGAAGGCAAAGAAGUGUCUUAUGGGAAAACUAAGUAAUGUUAAUGUCCGAUCAAGUCAACAAUUCAAAAUAAUGGAGACCAUGGCAGGUGGUAUACAAAAUGUUGGAUGUAUGCCCAGAGAUUUGAGAAACUUUGAAAGAGAUUUGAGAGAAGAAGUGAGAGGACAUGAUGCAACUAUGCUACUAGAGUACUUUGAAUCAGAAAAGGAAAAGAAGCCAUCUUUUUAUUUUGAAGUCGACCGAGAUGAAGAAAACAGAAUGACUCGUUGCUUUUGGGCUGAUCCUACCUCAAAAAAAGCAUAUUUUUUCUUCAACGAUGUUGUUGUGUUUGAUACCACCUAUAACACAAACAAAUAUCGCAUGAUCUUUGCUCCAAUCACAGGCGUCAAUCAUCAUGGCCAGACAAUUGUAUUUGGUUGUGGACUUUUAAGUGAUGAGAAGACUGAAUCUUUUAUUUGGUUAUUGGAACAAUGGCUGAAAGCUAUGCCUAGUGGUCCACCGAAAGUUAUAAUCACUGAUCAAUAUCAAGCAAUUGCAAAAGCCAUUGCUCAAGUUCUUCCACAUACACUCCACCGUUUUUGUAUUUGGCAUAUCAUGUUUAAAUUUCGAGACAAGCUCGGUCCUGUGAUUGCUCAAGGUUAUUAUGGACUCUUCAAAAACAGUGUAUAUAAUUCUAAGACUAAAGAAGAAUUUGAAGCUAGUUGGAAGAAUGCUGUGCAACAAAGCAAACAAGAAAAUCAUGUAUGGUUGACCACAAUGUAUGAACUACGAAGUAGAUGGAUCCCUGCAUUCUGCAAUCACAUCUUUCAUGCAGGUACGCAAAGAAAUUGUUAUUCUUCAAAUAUUUAUUAUACUGAACGAUUCUUUAUUGAAUUUUGUACCACAUCUUUCAUGCAGGUAUGCAAAGUAGUCAAAGAGUUGAAAGUAACCAUUCAUUCUUCAAAACAUUUGUUUCUCUGAACAAUUCAUUAUUGGAUUUUGCUACAAGGAUUAAAAGGGGACUUGGACAACAAAGACAUGAAGAACUUAUUCGUGAUCACAUUGACAGUAAUGAAAUUCCAAAGACAAAGACGUAUUAUCCAAUAGAAAAGCAGAUGCGUGAGGUGUACACAAAGGAAAUAUUUUUGAGGUUCCAAGAUCAGGUUGUCAAGAGUACAGCUUACUUGAAAUGUGAAACUUUGAAGGAGGAUGAACAUGACUGUGUGUAUACUGUUUUAAGGGCUGCAGAUGAUGAACAAAGCUGGAAAGUGCGACAAANNNNNNNNNNNNNNNNNNNNNNNNNNNNNNNNNNNNNNNNNNNNNNNNNNNNNNNNNNNNNNNNNNNNNNNNNNNNNNNNNNNNNNNNNNNNNNNNNNNNNNNNNNNNNNNNNNNNNNNNNNNNNNNNNNNNNNNNNNNNNNNNNNNNNNNNNNNNNNNNNNNNNNNNNNNNNNNNNNNNNNNNNNNNNNNNNNNNNNNNNNNNNNNNNNNNNNNNNNNNNNNNNNNNNNNNNNNNNNNNNNNNNNNNNNNNNNNNNNNNNNNNNNNNNNNNNNNNNNNNNNNNNNNNNNNNNNNNNNNNNNNNNNNNNNNNNNNNNNNNNNNNNNNNNNNNNNNNNNNNNNNNNNNNNNNNNNNNNNNNNNNNNNNNNUUGCAAUAUGGUAAUAACCUGUGAUUAUGAAUCAAUUUAGAUUGUCUGUUAUAUAUUUUAGUUUUUAUGCACCAAAGUAAACUGCACAGGGAUUCUUUAAUUGAGAAUUGAAUUAUUAGUCCCACAUUUUUCAUUUCAGAAUAAGAGGCAAGCUCUGUACAUUUUCAUUCUGGUACUAAUAACAAUCUCCAUAACUCAGGCUGAGACAAUAUGUAAUUUCAAAUUAUCUAACAGGUACUUCCUACGUACACAAAUUUCUCAAAAGUUACAGGUACAUCCUACAGAAUUUCAAGUAACCGGUUGAAUGAGUAUCACUUGGACUGACUGACAUGAAAAUUCCAGCCACGCUAAGCUAUCCUUUCUGACUCCAAUCAAUCUUGUCUUCACUUGCAGCAGCUCUAGCUUGUUGGUGGUAAUAAACUCAAUGCAAUUCUGUAACUAAAUGAAGAGUUCCCUGCAAAACAGUAUAUCAAGAUUCAAAAGGUAUCUAAACAAUCUUACAUGGAACAACUAUAUGAGAUACAAAAUAAAGGGAAACUGUAUAAUAAUGGAGAAAGAUGGAGGAAGAUGUAUAAUAAUUUAUGUAAUGCACCGGUUGUAGGCUCUGCAAUUCCCAAUUCAAAACAAUUCCACAAACUAAUCAAGUGGGUCAAUGAGGCUUCCUAUGCAAUCCUUCAAUUUCUUUUGACUAACUCUAUAUAUGUACCAACAAUUGCUAAUGAUUACCUAGAAACACCCACUGUUUCCAACAUCUCUGAGCUAAACCAAUAAAGACAAAGCUAUAGAAGGAUGAAUGAAACAAACCAGCAAGACAUUACCAGCAUAUUUCCAGAAACACCUGUAUUAAUACCAACUUGCAGAGUCCAUAGAAAAAUAACACUAAAUAGACGAAACUCAAACUGCACCACUGGUUAUAGUUAACUGCUAAAAAGAAUAGGCUGAAAAGCAAAUUUUGAAAACAAGUCAUCCCCCAAAAAAGACAGCUCUUAAGGAGAUGAAAGUUUGUAAAGACAUUUUCAAGAAAAUAGUAUAUGGAAAACAAUACUUAAAUGCUGAGACCAGAGUAUAGUUUUUUCAAAUUAUAAAUUAGGGAAUCUGAGAUUUUUGAAAGGAAAGGAAAAGGAAAAAGCUCCAACACAAGUGAACCUCUUACCGAACCCCCUUGGGGUUGCUCAAAAAAACACCUACCCUUUUGAUUGGACCAUAAGCGUCAAACUCCCUUUUAAGUUUGCUCUCAGUUGUCUCAUAAUUAAGUCUAGCAACAAACAAAGUCUUGUAUGGAUCUCCAGAAAUAUUUGGAUCACUGUUUGGAUCAUAUAAACACCUUCAAAUCCCAAAACAAACAAAACACAUUUACCAGGUCAAUCAAGUUUUGAGCAUGAAUCGAAAUCCAAAAACUACACUAAUUUCUAUUUGCAACUAAAAUCAAUAAUUCUACAAAAACAGCCGAAAAUUCGACAAUAUACUACAAUAGCAUCCAUGAAUCAUCAUACAAAAUACGAUAGCUCCAUCAUUCACCAAGCUGAAGAAGAAGGGGGGAAAAAUNNNNNNNNNNNNNNNNNNNNNNNNNNNNNNNNNNNNNNNNNNNNNNNNNNNNNNNNNNNNNNNNNNNNNNNNNNNNNNNNNNNNNNNNNNNNNNNNNNNNNNNNNNNNNNNNNNNNNNNNNNNNNNNNNNNNNNNNNNNNNNNNNNNNNNNAGAGAGAGAGAGAGAGAGAGAGUAAAGUCUAAGACAAAUACCUUCAACGAUAUAGAUCGGCGGCCUUAUGACGAUGAGGAUGAAUCAAUACUGAUAUGGGGGAGGCUUAGAGGGAUUGUGAACUGAGAGAUUUAUUAUGAGAAGAGAGAGAAGGAAGAUUAAGAGAUUAAGCGUGCUUGGGAGUCGUAUUUGCAAGAGUAAAGAGAUGAGAUUGGGUGUUGGGUUAACACAAUUCGGGUUUUACAGGUCUGCCUUUUUCUUCUGUUCGAUCUACUCAUUUAAAAUCUGACGGCUAUGGGAAGUUCGUCCCUUUCUGUCCCUUUAUUUGUAGUCCGCAGGUGAGCAGGCCUGUAGAGAAUACAAAGACAAAUUUGUAAAAGUACAUGGACCAGAGUGGUGAUUUACUUUUCUGAAUGACCAGAAUGGUGAGUUGGUCACAACACAAGGACCAAAAUUGCAAUUGACCAAACAAAGAAGCGGGUUUUGCAUUGAGAUUUGAACUCCCUCCUCCAUUUCUCUUCCUCCUUGUUCGUCUUCCCCUGAACAAUCAUCAACAUCAGGAAAAGGUGAGUACGCUUCUAUUCUUCUUCUUCUUCUUCUUCUUUUGUCUACUUUAUCUUUCGAACCCAACUGCUCAAAACCCUUGAAUCACUAGCUACUGCUUAAUAGUCAUUUCACUCUAUUCUACUCAUCGAUUUCUGAUUUUUAGGGUCUCUUGUUGUUUCUGAAAUGCAAAAUCCAUUUUUCACUGAUUUGGGGCCGCUUUCGUUUUCUACAGUCAAGCUCUGAUUUUUUUUGUUUCGGAAUUAGUUUCUGCUGUGACUAAUUCAUAUCAAUGGCUGACACCCAAGUAAAGUUGACUAGUCCCCCCAGUUAUUGUGCUGAUCGAAGAACUCAAGAAACAUAUAAUGAGGUUUUUGAGGAUGUGACCAACGACUGUAAGGAUAAGGAAUUCAUAAUACUAUUAGAAUGGUGUGGCAGAUUUAGGGUCUCUUGAUGAGCAGACCACACUUCCGGAAGUGGCUGUCUUUACCUUGGUGAUGAUGGCAUACGCCUUCGUGGCAGCACCAAGGAUGCUCACAGCUUCUACCAGCAGAUUAUAACCUAAGGGGUACAUAUGCCAUGCCAACAAGUAUUUCCUUGAAAUGUUGGAUAGGGGGAUGAAUUGAGCCCCAUUAUCAACCCGACAUGUAUGUUAUGGAUGCCAUUGUCUGUCGAGAGCCAGUGGAGGAGGCCAAGAAGUUCCUUGAGGAGAUAAAAUCUAAGGGGUACAUAUCGGAGCUCAAUGAUCUUCGAUACAAAGAAGGCAGGUAGUACACAUGUGUACUGAUCUUGUCCGCGGCAAUUCCAUUGACAAGGAUGUGCAAAAAUUUGUCCAAAAAGUCGCGCACUUGCCGUAUGAACUUCAUUGAACAAUGAAGAUGCACAGUGCUUUGUUAAAGGAUGGAAAUGUGGAUGAGGCUACGGAGUUAACAUAAUUAAACAGAAGGGCAUAGAGCCCAUAGUCCUAAUCCAUACCACAAUUAUUGAAGCCUACCUCAAGUUUGGAAAGACCAAGGGUGCGCUGGAGGCCUACCUGGCCAUGUUAGCUGCUGGGGACUGGGGUUGCUCCCAACUUUUACACUUGCCAAUUAGAGGGUUUGGCAAAGGGAGAAGGACAGGGCAGCUGAGGAUGAGGGCAAAGGGUUUGUGGAGGACCUGAAGGUGAUGAUAGGUAAAGGGUCUGUGCCUAAUGCAAAGGCAAUGAGAGAGGUUUUAAAGGUCAGACCUACACCUGUUAUUUGAAUUGUCUUUUCCAAGUUGAAAGGCUGACUUUUUGCUUCAUUGAGGUUAUGCUAGCAGCGUCAGUACUAAGUGGUUUUUUAUAUGGUGAGAUUAGAAAAUCAUGUAGGAUUAGGUUUGGUGAUGUUCUCUAUCAUUUUGAAUGUGAUGAUCUUUUGCUUGAGGCUCCCGUAGCACCUUCCGGUAUUAGGUGCUUUCAAAUACGGCAAAGCAGCCAGAGCUAGUAAGACUGGAUAAUCAUGUAGGAUUGGUUUUCAUUUUGUGCUGUUCUCUAUCAGUCUGAAUGAAUCACUGAAAUCUGAAUGCUGAAACUGAAAUUGAUAAUCAUGUAGGAUUGAUUUUCAUUUUUGUGUUUCUUUCUUCAAUGCAACUUUCAUUUUGUUGCUGCGUUCAGCGCAAGAAUUACUGCUCAUUUUUUGGUAUCAUGUUUUCUCAAGCGUAUACUUUACUGAUGAAUUAAUUUUUAACUUGAUAAAUUAUGGAAAGGAUUAUCUGAAACUGUUAUCCUAAAAGAGGCAACUGCAAUUUUGUUACCCCAGAAUUGAGAUAGUUUUGAGAAACUGUUUACUUAAAGUAAUUGUAUGGAUAACAGUAAUUAAACCACUGUGUAUAUAUGUUUUCAAAUAUUAUUUGGGGCCUUUGGGCCUUGGGGACAUUAAGUUUUGCAUAUGCAGACAUUUAUAGGAACUUGGCUGAAAAGAAGAGAUGCACUUGAAAGCUGACUGGUUCUUGUUUGAAGGCUGAUGUUUGGGAUUUGUUACACUGCCUUAGACUUGCCUCUGAUCAUGGUUACAGAGCAGUGGAGGUAGAACCUGACACUAGUUCUGUUUCUCAAACUCAGUUGGAAGAGAUGGAUUCUGUUUACAGCCUUGUAUACAGUACGUUGCAAGAAUAGGAGGGAAUUAAUCUUGCAACCUGCCCCUGUAUACAUAUAGGCAGAGGAGUUGUAUUUCCGACUUUCCUGCACAUUUUGGUUAAGCCUUGUGGAACACCACUUCUGCACCGCACCGCACCAGCAAGACAAAGAAGUAGUGCAUUUUGGACAAUUAAAUGAGAAUCAUAAGAUAGAAAUUUGAAGGUUUACUAGGGUCUCCUAUUGUUUAGCAUAAGUUCUUCCAUUUCAGAAGCAGAGAGCCUGUUGCUUGUGGUAUGGUAUGGAUACAUUUCCAUUUCUCUUCCGAGGAUAAUUAUGAGUAAAUAGCCUAUGUAGCAUCUUGUUUUGCAGAACAUGAACUUUUUCUCCUUGCUUGUCAUCAACUUCUUGGGAAAUCAAAAACUUUAUUUUGAUAAUAUUAUUAGAUAUCUGGUGGCCAACUGGCAGUUAACAUGGAUUUUUUGUCCAUAAAAAUAAUGUUGCAGUUCCACAUGCCAGAGUGAUGUAUAAAUUGUCCGUUUUUCAGCUAGAUUUUAUACCUUAUGAACUUUGGCAUGUCAAUCAACCAAAUUUAAUUAUCUUAGCUCCUGUAGUUUCUCAUCCUGAAGUUUCUGAGCUUGAUCUUGUCUACUGUAGGCUUAUUGGUUUAUUGCAUCUUGUUUUACUUUCUACGGAUCUGCACAGAAAAUUUACGACCAAAAUCUGGCUCAUGGGGACAUUACCAUCUUAUGGAGACCAAGGUAAAGUCUGGCUUUUUGCAAGUAUCUUUCUAUGAAUCUGCAAAGAAAAUUUACGACCAAAAUUGGGCUUAUGGGGACUUUACCAUCUUAUGGCAUGGAGACCAAGGUAAAUCUGGCUUUUCGCAAGCAUAUUGUAUCUAGAUUUUAGAAACUACAGGUUCCAGAUACAUUUUGAUAUACAGUGCUUUGUCUCGUCAUUUUUCAGUUCUCUGUUAAUUUUAACAUCUGGUUUGGCACAUGAUGUGUGGACAAGACUUCCAACUCUCUUAUGAAUAUGAUUUCGAACUACUGUUAUUCUCUACCACUAGUAUCUUUUGUAUACCAACACUAUCAUUAUGUUGCAUCUUUGAUAACAAGACUUGGCGCUUAUGGUUCAGUAUUAUCAUAUUAUGUCAUCAUAUGAUUUGGUGAAGAACAAACUUACAGUCAUUAAUGUUGCAAUGAAGUGAAUGAACAUUAGAAACUGCUUCUACUACUGCACCUUUUACUCUAGGUUUUUGAUAGUUCAAUGUGAAUAGUAUCCAAUUUUGACUUAAUAUUUAAGAUCAUCACUGAAAGUAGUUGAAUAGAAGGCAGAUUGUUUAUGACUUUCUUUCCAAGUUGUGUCUGGUGCCAAAGAAAAACGGGUUAGCUUUUGUUUUUCAAUUAAACUUUGGUGCUGGAACCAUAUGAAUUGCUCACUAUUUUGGUCUUCUCCACAUUACAGCUGAUAAUUUAGGUAUCUAUGCCUGCAUGGGUACUAUGUAUGGAUGCUUAUGGUUCUAGCAAUAUCUAUAGGAUUCUAUAUUGGUCAGCUAUUAUUCAAGGUUUAAUGGAUGAAGCUUAGUGUUAAGCUUCUGAUGAGCAAAAUUGAGGGGUUACUUAUUUCAACAGUUUAGGCAGUAAUAAGAAGGGUAAGUGCAUACUACAGCUUCUAUUUUCAAAAACAGAAACUAUUCUCUUCAAUUUUUCAGUUCUCUGGUAAUAGACAUUGUUUUAGCACCUGAGUUUGCACAAGACUUGUUCAGCGGUUCAAUGUUAUGUACCACCAACAAUUUUUCCUACUUUGUUGAAUUCCAUUUUCAUUUUGCUGAUACUUUGAUGGCAUGAAUUCAUGCUCAUUGUUUAAUAUCACGUUUUUAACUGUGUAUACCACAAAAACAGAUGGGAACAAUAAAAACAGCUUCUGCUGCUGCAUAUAUGCUUGCAAACAACAAUUUGAAAGGCGCGGCUCAUUUGUCACUCCAGAUUUCUGAUAAUUUAAGAUCUUCACAUUAUGUAGCUGAAUAGAAAGCAUAUACUGUCAGUUGCAUCUGAUGCCAAUUGGAAUAGUUUUAGUUCAUGCCUUCUCAUCAACAUUUUGGUGCUAAAAGACUAUGAAAAUGUUUUUGUUUUCCCAAUUGAACACACAGGCUUUUGUGCAGCUAGGAUAUACAGCUAAUUUUCAAAUUUUAGCAUGCAUCUGUGCAAAUAUUGAUAAUGAUUACUGAUAUCUGUUGACUCUGACUUCUGGAGACAUCUCAGAUACACCAUGGACUUGCAUGUGGUGUAGUUAUGCAAUAUUUUGGCGAUGUUUGCACUUUUCUAAAGAGGAGGUAUUUUGUGAGUAUUCAGAGAUAGGCAGCAUUCUUAAAACUUUCAGAAAACAAAUUGAGGUAAAAGAGAGUAAACAUGCUCGUUCUUUCUUCUAUUCGAAAAUCUGAAUUUCUUUCUUCUAUUCAAAAAAUCUAAAGGGGGUUAUAGUUUUCCCUUUUUAUUCAGUAUUUAAUGGCCGGAGAGUUUAAAUGGUAGUUGAUUAUUGCAUGAGCAAUUGAGCAUCUCUGGUUUAUAUUAGUGCUACUUAUCCUCAGUUUUCAGUGAAAAGAUGCUCUUGACUAGUCAGGGGAUUUAUUACAGUGAAAAGAUGCUCUUAACUUGCGAAAAUUGUUCUUUGUUGCUUGGAUCUUUUCUCAUAGCUAAAGUCCAUUACUUAGAAUAUUAACAGUGAAAACAUAGCCUAUUUCUUUGUCUCUCGUCAUUAGUAGGUGCCACUCUGUGUACAAUGGAUACACACUUGUCGUUUAAUUUUACCUUUCGACUCACUCAUUAUUUGUUAUUCUACACUAAGGAAGGCUUUACAACAUAUGUAAUAUCCUACAAUUGUUCUGGAUGCUAGAUUUUGCUUUUGCCUCUGCCUGCAUUGAAAUAAUAAAAUUAGAUGGACGUGGAAUGGACCAUUAGGCAUCAGCAUUAGUAUUCACAUUGGAUCGAUGAUUACAAACAAAUAUCACUGAUAUUCACAUUUGCAGUCUCUCUUCUCAUUUUAAUUUUAUUUUCUCUAUAUGUGCAAAAGUGAAUUGGUAGCACUGUGUUAGAUGAUCUCCAAAAGUUGAGAAAAAUAUUUAGAAUCAUACAUGACUUCCUUAGAAAGUUAGGAUCAUAAAACGUGGUCUCCAUUUUCCUUCUGAGGAUAAUUAUGUGUAAACUUUUUAUUUUUAUUUUUUUAUUUUGAGAAUCAUGUGUAAACUGCUUAUGUAGCAUCUUGUUGUGUAGAACAUUAACCUUUUCUCCUUGUUUGUCAUCAAAUUCUUGAGAAACCAAAAACUGUAUUUUGAUAAAAUUUUCUGGUGGCCGACUGUCAGUUAACAUGGAUUUUUUGUCCAUAAAAAUAAUGCAGCAGUUCCACAUGUCAGAGUGAUGUAUAAACUGUCAAUUUUUUUUUCCGGCUAGAUUUUUUACCUUAUGAAUUUUGACAUUAUCUUAGCUUAUGUAGUUUGACUAGUUUCAGUGUUUCACACCUUGAAGUUUCUGAGCUUGUAUCUUGUCUAAUGUAGCUUUAUUGGUUUACUACAUCCUGGUUUACUUUCUAUGAAUUAGCACAGAAAAUGCAACCGAGACCGGGCUCAUGGGGAUAUUACCAUCUUACAUAGACCAAGGUAAAGUCUGGCUUUUCGCAAGUAUCUUGUAUCUAGAUUUUAGAAACUACAAGUUCCAGAUACAUAUUGAUAUCCAGAGCUUUGUCUUGUCAUUUUUCUGUUCUUGGUAAUUUCAACAUCUGGUUUGGCAGAUGAAGUGUGGACAAGACUUCUUACUCUUUUAUGAAUGUGAUUUUGAACUACUGUUUUUCUAUACUAGCAGUAUCUUUUAUACCAACACUAUCAUUAUGUUGCAUCUUUGAUAACAAGACUUGGUGCUUAUGGUUCAGCGUCAUAUUAUGUCAUCAUAUCAUUUGGUAAGGAACUAACUUAUUCUCAUUAAUGUUAUUAUGUUAAUAACAUUAGAAACAGGCUCUACUACUGCACUUUUGACUCUAGGUCUUUGAUAGUUCAAUGUGAAUAGUAUCCGAUUUUGACAUAUUUUAGAUCACCUAAAGUAAUUGAAUUGAAGGCAGAUUGUUUACGACUUUCUUUCCAAGUUGUAUCUGGUGCCAAAGGAAAAUGGGUUAGCUUCUGUUUUUUAAUUAAACUUUUGGUCUUCUCCACAUUACAGCUCAUAAUUUAGGUAUCUGCCUGCAUGGGUACCAUACAUGGACACUUAUGGUUUUAGCAAUAUAUAUAGGAUUCUGAGUUGCACAGCUAUUAUCCAAUGUUUAAUUGAUGAAGAUUACUGUUUAGCUUCCAAUGAGCAUAAUUGACGGGUUAAGGACUUAAAGGGUUGCUUAUUUUAACAGUUCAGGCAGUUUCUUCACUCUGUUGUGACUAGCUAAGUGAGUAGGAUGAUUAUAGUGUGGCCGCUGGUCAUGUUGCUCAAGUAGCCGGCAGUCCUUUGCACCACCUUCUAUUGAUCAUUGGAAGGAAGAAUCUUGGGCUCGGCUUUUAGGUAGCCAGAAUUCCUGAUUAUCUAUAUGUUUAGACCCAUUAGGACAGCCAAGAUUAGGGUUUAGGGUUCAGUCCAGUAGUAGAACAGAGGAAAGUCUAUGUCUACUUCCACCAUCUCUUGAUUUCUGUUCUGCUAGUGGAAAGCUUACCUUGUUCUCCAGUGUUAUGAAUUUACCUUGUUUUGCUACUGGAGAUCAAGGUAAGCUUUCCACUAGCAUACUAAAGUUUCUCUGUCAAAAACAGAAACUGUUCUCUUCAAAUUUUCAGUUCUCUGGUAAUUAACAUUGUUUUAGCAGCUGAGUUUGCACAUGAUCUUGUUCAGCGGUUCAAUGUUACAUACGGUACCACCAAGAAUUUGUCCUACAUUGUUGAAUUCCACUUUCAUUUUGUUGAUACUUUGAUGGCAUGAAUUCAUGCUCAUUGUUUAGUAUCACCUUUUUAACUGUGUAUACCACAGAAACAGAUGGGAACAGCAGAAACAGCUUCUGGUGCUGCAUAUAUGCUUGGAAAUAACAAUUUGAAAGAUGCGGCUCACUCACUCCAUAUUUCUAAUAAUUUAAGAACUUCACAUUACGUAGCUGAAUAGAAAGCAUAGACUUUCAGUUGCAUCUGAUGCCAAAUGAACUGGAAUAGUUUUAGUUCUUGCCUUUUCAUCAAAUAUUUUGGUGCUAGAAGACUAUGAAAAUGUUUUGAUUUUUCCAAUUGCACACACACAGGCUUUUGUGCAGCUAGGAUACACAGCUAAUCUGCAAAUUUUAGCAUGUGUCUUUGCAAAUAUUGAUACUGCUUACUGAUAUGGGAUAUCCCAAAUGGAGUGUCUGUUGACUCUGACUUCUCGAUACAUCUCAGAUACACCAUGGAUUUGCAUGGGAUGUGGUUAUGCAUCAUUUUGGCUAUAUUUGCACUUUCCUUAAAAUGAGGUAUUUUGAACUUUUAGAAAAUAAAUUGAGGUAAAAGAGAGUAAACAUGCUUCAUUCUUCUUUUCGAAAAAUCUGAUUCAUUCUUCUGUUCAAAAAAUCUGGAAGGGGUUAGAGUUUUCCAUUUUUUAUUCAAUAUAUGAUGGCAGAGUGGCAGGAGAGUUUAAAUUGUACAGUUGAUUUUGCCUGAGCAAAUGAGCAUCUCUGGUUUAUGUUAGUGCUACUUAUCUUCAGUUAUUUGAGUGAAAAGAUGCUCUUGACUAGUCAGUGACGGGUGCAAAACCUGCAUCAAAUAAACCUUUUUUAUCGUUAGUAGCAUUGAGUAAGUAGGGUAUCGUAUAGGGCUGGGGAUUGAGGGUACCUUGCAAAACAAAGCGUUAGAAAAACACAACUAAAUAUUAACAAGUAAUAAAACAUUUNNNNNNNNNNNNNNNNNNNNNNNNNNNNNNNNNNNNNNNNNNNNNNNNNNNNNNNNNNNNNNNNNNNNNNNNNNNNNNNNNNNNNNNNNNNNNNNNNNNNNNNNNNNNNNNNNNNNNNNNNNNNNNNNNNNNNNNNNNNNNNNNNNNNNNNNNNNNNNNNNNNNNNNNNNNNNNNNNNNNNNNNNNNNNNNNNNNNNNNNNNNNNNNNNNNNNNNNNNNNNNNNNNNNNNNNNNNNNNNNNNNNNNNNNNNNNNNNNNNNNNNNNNNNNNNNNNNNNNNNNNNNNNNNNNNNNNNNNNNNNNNNNNNNNNNNNNNNNNNNNNNNNNNNNNNNNNNNNNNGGAAGAAACGAAUCAAAUUCCAUGUUUCAAGUAAUUACCGACGCGGACUUAACUACUUAAAACCCUUCUAACCUCUCAUAGAUAUGUACCGACGCGGACUUCAUAUCCAAAAUAGAUCAAAGGAAGAACUUGAACAUGUUAGAAUGUAAUUCACCGACGCGGACUUCAAAGACAUCCUAGCAUGCAACCUAUAACUCCUUACCAUUCUAGUUCAUGUUUACCGACGCGGACUUAACACAAACAAUGACACAUAUUGAUUAAGAACAAGUCAUAAGUUGUCAAUCACACAUAUAAACAUAAUUUAGAUCAUCAAAAGCAUCAUCAAUUACACCAACAACUCAAGUGUACAGAUCUGAUUUUCAUGAUUAUAAGAACAAACUCAAUCAAAAAUCCAACUCAUGAACACAAACGAAUAAGAGAGAUGGAAACAAACUAAAGUCAUUGAAUAGAUAAUAAAAGAAAACAUGAGGUCUGAGUUUAGAUUACACUUUGAGUAUUGAAACAAGGAACUACGCCGAGAAUUACAGAGGAGAAGGCACGGCAAGAGAAAUCCUAAAACUAGGGUUUGUGUUUGGAGAAGAAUUUCUGAAGGAGAUGAAAGACGUUGUUUUUCUGGGGCCAAGAGCGACCCUUUCACCUCCCCAACUCCUCAUACAUAUAGAGAACAUAUCAAAAGCUGCUAUUAGGGUUAGAGAACCUUUAAUUUUCGUCCAUGGGCUCGCCAUUGUGGUCUGGGCCUUGAAAUUGAAGUUCCGGUCCAAAUCAGAAAUUCGGGCAGACUGACCUUUGGUCACCAAAAUAGCUAUUGACGAUCUACGAAAAGUUCUGAAAACUAGACUCUUCUAGCUUUCUGCUGAUAUAAAGUUCAUCUCCUGGAUCGUUGUGAGCUGAUCACAAUUCUCUGUCGAAGUUGACUGACUAUUCCUGGCAGAUUUUAGAUUUCUUUCCUUGCGCCAUAUGGAUUCCUUUUCCUUCAAGAUUUCUCCUCUUUUGCCUCUUUUGUGCUCAUCGGCUUUAUUUGUGACCUAAAAACACAAACUAAGUUAAAAUCAAUAUUGUUAAAGGAAUUACAUAACUAAAUAGGGUCGGAAAUACAUUAAGAACGUUGCAUAGAAUGCACCUAUCAGUCAGCGGAUUUAUUAAAGUGGAAAAAUGCUCCUAACUUGUGAAAAUUGUUAUUUGUUGCUUUUGCUCAUACCUAACUUCUAUUACUUGGAAUCUUGACAUCAGUUAUCUGUUACCUGGGUGUUCUGCUCAAACAUAGCCUAGAUGGCUCUUUGUCUCUCGUCAUCAAUAGGUGCCACUCUCUGUGUACAUUGGAUAAACACUUGCCGUUUUAUUUUAUCUUUCUACUUGCUCAUUGUUUGUUAUUCUAUAUUAAGAAAACAGGCUUUACUACAUACUAGCAUCUUGACCCGCACUAUGUGCGUGUGUGUAAUUUUUUUUUUACUGUUACAGUUAUGCUCAAAGUUUGAUUUCCCUCCCAUUCUACAAAAAAAAAAAAAAAAAAAAAAAAAAAAUAAAUCUGAUUUCCCUCCCCACUUUUCUCUCUCACCUCCCACGUUUUAAGCUUCUUUCUUUCUAUUUUUCAUUUUUUCUUAUUUCCAACAUUUGCAAUUAUUAAUUUGUCCUUCAUUUGUUAGAUGACAUAUUUUAAAGUUUUAAUUAAUCAAGGGCAUUAUAGGUAGUUUAAAAAUUUAACCGUUGACAAAGUCAAAAAAGCCUUCUGGCUUUAUUAAUAGAGAUGUAAUUGAUGAUUGUUCUAUAUGCUAAAUUUUACUUUUGCCUUUGGCUACAACGAAAUCAUAAAAUUAGAUGGCACGUGGAAUGGACCAUUAGGCAUCCAAAAGUGAAUUGGUAGCCCUGUGUUAGAUGACCUCCAAAAGUUAAGAAAAAUAUUGAGAAGAGUACGGCUAUUGUCACCCCACUAAAUAUUUUGUUCACCCCACAUUUCAAUUUUAAACUAAAUAUUCCAAUACUAACCUCACAAUUAAGAAUUUUUGUGAAAAUAUAAUAUUAAACUAAAAUCUAUAAAAUCCAAACAACAACAAUUCUCUACAUCUUUACAUCGGAUCGGAGAAAAAAAAAAUUCUCUACAUAUUUCAAAUCAGAUUUAAGAAUCACUUUAAUCUUCAAUAAGAUGGUUAUACAGUAUGAUGAGAUUGUUUAUUCUUAUUUUUAUUUUAUUUUUGGCUUCAAAUGUAAUCUUUCAUAUAUAUAUAUAUAUAUAUAUUCAUAAUCGUAAAGAAUGAACUCAAGAAAGAGAUUGAGGAGAACAUAUAUAGGAUGUACGUGGUUUGAGAAAAAUGGAGGUCUGCGUCAAAUAUAUUGAUGCGUAUUUGUAUAUAUUUUUAGAUUUUAUCAGAUUGAGGGAAAAAAAACGAAAAUGAAAACCAUAUUUUCUCAAAAUUUUAAGGGUAGAACUGGAAUGUUAAAGGUAAAAAAUAAAGAAUAGGGUGAAUUGAGCAUUUAGUGGGGUGGAAAUAGCCGCACCUUGUUGAGAAUCAUACAUAACUUCCUAAGAAUCAUAAGUUGUUUGCUAUGUCUACUUAUGCACCAUGUAUCUAUUCUUCUAAUUGUUUCUUGCCUUAUUUGCAGGAGUAACCCCUGACCUAAUCCACAACAAGAAGGUAAGCUUAGUAAUUAGGGUCCGGUUUAAGGGUCAUUGUUUUUUACACACUUUUUGACACUCAUUCGUGGCCUUUAGAUUUUAAAACUUUUAACGGUGUAGAUUACUUGUUAAUAUGAUGUCAACAAAAAGAAUGUGAUGUGGAAAGUGACAUGGAUUUACCUAUUUCCAUAACAAAUUAGAUUUACAUUUCUUUAUUAAAAUAAAAACCAAAUCCAAUUCUAACUUGGAAAAUCAAAAAUCAAAUCGUAUACAAUAAAAAGAAAGAAAAGAAGAACGUCAGAAGAACAACGUCCACAAGAAGAAACAAGAAUAAGAAGAAACGACUAACAACAGGAGCAUAGAAGAACAAACAUCGAAAGCACCAUCUCUAACUAGAUUAUCUCAUCUAUCAAUUUACAACAAGAAUAUAGGUACGUAAGAACAUAAUUAUCUUCUUCUUUUUUGUCGACAUAGCAUUACAGAUAACUAGAUUUAGGGUUUAGGGUUUAGUAAUUGAAUCGAAGUUUAUGGUAUUUGAUAUAUUUAUACUGCCAAGGAAACCUACAUCUUGUAUAGCCCAGAAAAACUAAAGAAACUAAAUUGACAUGGGGUGCAUAUAUGUAUGGUUGCCUUUCGUAAGUGUAGGGUUUUAGGGUUCUAUGUUUUUCUUUGAAUAAGGGUUCUUUGUUUAAAGGUCACAGAUUUAUUUUGACAAAUAAAAAAAAAACAGCUUGAAGGUUUGUACUUGAAUGCAAAAGAAGAGCUUACGAUUGUUUUCCAUGUAUUUAUAUUAGAGGAGCUUUUGUGCAACUUAGUUAAAGCAUCUUAUACCUUUUUUUUCUUCUUAAGUGUAUGUUAUCGUACUUCUGUUUGUUGUCAAACUCUCAUACACUAUAUCUAGGUAUUCAGUUAGCCACUGCCUAUUCUGGGGAUAAUUCUUCUUUAAUGAAUCAGGUAGCAGCCUCGAUGGACUUAACUUCAGAAGAUGGCAAUCUUGGAUCCUCAAUGAACCGAUUAUCAAGCGACGAGGCCGAUGGUCACCAUUCUCCAGAAAUAGAUGAUCGAAAAUUUAAAAACACCUUAUGUGGGAAUGCAAUUUGAAACAUUGGAAGAGGCCGGAAAAUAUUAUGAAGAUUACGGUCGACAAGAAGGUUUUUGGAUUCGAAUUCGAAGUUCAUCGAAGUCUAGAUCACAUUCAAAGGAAGUGACAGGUAGAUCAUUUGUUUGUGCACAUCAAGGUAAACAUGCAAUGCAAAAUCCAAAGGAGGAUGUUCUGAAAGAGAAAGACAAGAUAGAUGAGAACGAUGAGGGAGAAACAUGUGACCUACAGAUUGAAAAGAAAAGGCAUAGAAGUUGUUCAACUGUUAAAUGUGGGUGUGAGGCUAAUAUGCGAGUCCUUCAUGAUAAAUGGACUAAUAAGUGGAAGGUUUCAAUCUUCAAUGACAUCCACAACCAUAAAGUAGUGACACCAACUCGAAGAAUGAUGAUGAAGUCAAAUAGGCAUAUGCCCGAUGCAGCAAAAGAUUUAACAGAAGCUUUCCAGAAACAGAAUUUACAAAUCAGUAAGCUUCUUUCAAUAUUCGGUGGCUCUCAUAAUAUUGGGUUUGACAAUAGGGAUUGUUAUAAUCAUUUAAGGAACGUGAGACAUAAGGAGUUAGAAUCUGGAGAUGCACAGUCAGUCUCAAUUACUUUAGGAAAAAGCAAGCAUAAAAUCCACAGUUCUUUUAUGCUAUCCAGUGUGAUGAAGAUGGUAGAGCUACUAAUUUUUUUUGGGUGGAUUCCAGAUCAAGGACGGCGUAUCAAUACUUUGGGGAUGUAGUGACAUUCGAUACAACAUAUCGAGCAAACAAGUAUGACAUGCCAUUUGCACCAUUUACAGGAGUAAACCAUCACUUCCAAUCCAUACAAUUUGGAUGUGCCCCUUAACAAGAUGAGACAGAGUCAACAUUUCUGUGGUUAUUUGAGAUGUGGCUUGAAGCUAUGGGAGGUCGACAUCCAUUAUGUAUUAUCACUAACCAAGAUUUGGCAAUGAAAGGAGCAAUUGCUGAGAUUUUUCCCAAUACUCGUCAUCGCCUUUGCAUUUGGCAUAUAAAGAAAAAGUUUGGUGAAAAAUUGGCACAUGUUUAUUAUAAAAAGUCCAACUUCCAGACUAGCAUGAAAAAGUGUAUAUGGGCAACAUACAAAGUAGAGGAUUUUGAAGAGCAAUGGAAGAAACUGAUUGAUGAGCAUGGAUUAGGAAACAAUGAAUGGCUACAGCAACUAUAUGAAAUUCGUGAAUCUUGGGUUCCAGUAUAUAACCGCAACACAUUUUUUGCCGGAAUGAAUACAACAAGGCAUAGUGAAGGCACUAAUGCAUUUUUUGAUGACUUUGUCACAUCAACGACAAAUCUGAGAGAGUUUGUUGUGAAGUAUGAACAAGCCUUACAUAAGAUUGUUGCAAGGGAAAGUAGCGAGGAUUUUACAUCAGAGCAUAAAUAUCGUAUUGUGGAUGAUGAUGACUUUCUUUUGAAACAUGCAACACAUGUGUAUACAAGAAAUAAAUAUAUUUAAAAAAUUCAAGAGUGAAUGGUCUACAGUCAAACGACUCAAAGUUGAAGAAAGAAGUCUGGACAAUCAAUUUCAUAGAUACUCAGUGAUGAAGAAAAUGAGAACUCAAAAGAGUUUUUGGUGGAGUUGAGUUUGCAAACACACGAGGAUAAAUGUGAAUGCCAAAAUUUUGAAUUUGUUAGAAUAAUUUGUCGGCAUAUUAUGAAGGUGUUUGUUCGUCAAGAUAUCGAUCCAAUACCAACCGACUUUAUUCUUCCCAGAUGGAGGCAAGGAGCAAAUAAGUUUAGAGUUAUGGAUUCUGAAGCCUUAGUAAAGAAUGAUGGUAAGGAGCAUUCAGAAGCAUUGCGAUUUAGUCAUAUGUGUCGGAGAGCCACUCAACUAGCUUGUUAUGCAGCACCCUCUAAUGAGGCCUACACAAUUUACAUGGAUGGUUUAGAUGAAUUGUCAAAAAAAAUUUGGAAGUUAAUAAGGUGUCAAAAGAAGAUGUUAUGGAGUCUGAAGAUGAUGUUUUCCAAGAUGAAGCAGAUCAAUGUACAAGUAAGUCUUCUGAGCAAUUACUUUUAGAUCCAAAUAUCUCAAAAACUAAGGGUAGAAAGAAGGAUGAGAAUAGCAGAAGAAAAACAAAAAGUUCUAAAAGGAUUAAAGGUGGCAUGGAGUUGGCUCAAAACAAGAAGAGAAAGUGUACAAUGUGUCAACAGCCAGGACAUAAUAGGCUUACUUGCACUUUAAAUCCAGAUGCAAAAAGAAAACCGAGUGCUUCUACAGAUCAAAGUAAGUUAACUUUUCUCCUCCUUUUCUUUGUCGAAUCAUAUCGUUUCACUUGAUGUGUAAAUUAUGGUAGUUUUUGACAUUUUCGUCUUAAUAUGUGUUUUUAGGGAAUAAGAAUAUGUUGGAGUCAGAUAGAGUUUUGGACGAGGAAGAUUCAGAUGAGGAAGCUUCAAACAGUGACCAUGAGGAAUAAAAUUGAUUUAUUUUUUUCUUUUGUUAAGCAUAGUAGAUACUAUUGGUUUGGUUUGCUAUUGUUUGUUUAAGAGGAUUGAUUUUGUAUUGGAUGCAUUUAGAGAAUGAUACCGGUAUCUGCUACGUACUAGUUGAAUUGUAGAGGUUUCAAUUGCUAAAAAAAUUGAUUUGAUCAGCCUUGUUUUAUGAUCAGUAAUAAGACAUGCAAGUUAUUAUUGUAAUGUUUGAAAGAAUCAUAAGCUAUUCAGUUGGCUAUAAUAGCAGAGUUUAUCUACAUAGGGUGGUUAAUCUUUCUUGUCUUGCAAAACGAAACAGACAAAAAUCUGAAGGCGUUUGGCACUAAGCAUACCCAAUAUAAAUGGUAAAAAUUAAGCGUUUUGUUUGUUUUGGUGAUGCGAAGAAAUUUAAGGCUAAGAGUAAAGUAAACUGAGUUAACUGACACUUGAGGAUAGUAAGGACUGGACACAAAGGUGGGUAGAGAAGCCAAGAAUUGCACAACCAAAUGGGUGUCGAGGAAUUUUUUCUUCUUCUUGGUACUGGAUUUGGUCGAUUUGAUUUUUGAUUUUUCAAGUUAGAAUUGGAUUUGGUUUUUUAUUUUAAUAAAGAAAAGUAAAUCUAAUUUGUUAUGAAAAUAGGUAAAUCCAUGUCACUUUCCAUAUCACAUUCUUUUUGUUGUCAUCAUUUUAGUAAGUAAUCUAGACCGUUAAAAGUUUUAAAAUUUAAAGACCACAGAUGAGUGUCAAAAAAUGUGUAAAAAACAAUGGCCCUUGAACCGAACCCUAGUAAUUAAUAUAUGUAUUUUUUGUUACUUUCUAAAUUCUGAGUAACACAUGAAACUAUACAAACUUGUACUUAACUUCCAAAUCUCUUACUCCCAUGAGCAUUUUAUCAUAAUUUUCAAUGAGUUAAUUUCCUACCAGUGGUUUAGGACUGAAAUCUUAACUUCUCUAAAAUUCUUGUAUAGCAACUAGCAAGACUUUCUUAGUGAAACAGAAGAAAGGAAAAGCUUUGAAAGGCAUGUGCACGGAUGGAAGCAAACUCAGUUAUAGGGUAGAAGCUGCCAUUGGAUGAUUUUAGCUAUUCUGAUUAUUUCAUAUAUAUCUCACAAUCAUAAUGCCAUGUCUUAGAUCACUGACAUAAACCUAGUUAUGUUGUUUUCUGAAAUAUUCUAGCUAGAGUUCCUUGGUCUCAGUUUACAUUUACUGUUCUUUUGCCUCUCUUGUUUGUAAUCCUAACAGGAAACUUUAGAACAUGUAUUGGGCUGCCAAGUUGUAUCAAAGCUUCCUCUAGUUUAACAUUGCUGGUGUGGAAAGUACUUAAUGGUAUUAGCGAUUGAGUGGAUUGGCUACUUUUUAACAUCUUCGCGUUCCCAAGUUCUGUAACAUCACUGGUGUUUUUUUCGUGCUACAGAUGGCUUGAUUACUCCUAGUUGAAGUGUGCAAUGGUUAUUGAUUCUGGCAUUGAAAUUCAUUGGCAUUGUAUUCAUAUCUACAAUAUUUAGCUCACAAUAAGAACAAAAUGUGAUUUGAUCGACGUACAUGACUUAUGUGUUCAUGCUUCCUCAUGAACAUAGGAUUUUGGAAUUUCUGCUGAUUUUGAAGGUCCAUUUAGAUCUUCAGUUUUGAACUCUUUUGUCAAUAUUCAUGUUGUUUGUGAAAAAUAACAUACAAAGUGAAUGGUAAUCAUGUGAGAUGAAUUGGUUUGAGAAGCAGAAUCACAAUCACAGCUAAAAUGAAACAGAAAAAACUUUAUUGAAGAGACAAUAACAGAAGUACUGUAAGAUAGAAAGAAUCUACUAUAUUGAUUAAUUGGUAUAUAGGUUUCUGAGAAGCAACAAAACUAAUAAAAUCAGAUACAGAAGUGUCACUGAAACACACUAGCUAGAACCAGACUCCUAAACGUGGUAGAACAAGUAUCCAACCAGUUCAAUCAUAACUGUGCUGAACCAGACUACUAAUCAAAACAGUUGAUGACUUUAAACAAGCCAUGAAAAUGUAGCUGAACUGAUUUGAGGAUGCAUAACUGUGCUCACUUGUCAUUUAUGUAUUCACUGUGAAGCUUGUCUUUUUGUUCAUCCAUCACCAACAAAAUAGUGGCCCAUUGUCGGCUCCAAGAUUGUGGUAGUGUAGCUCCUGCAGAUAGGCAUUACUGAUUUUCAAAGUGGAAGACAAAGUUGCUGUUGUCAUCAGACUCGAAGUAGAAGGCACCUUCCAUAGGAAUGAAAUGAUUAUCAACAGCAAAAGCAAAUGUUUGGUUAUCAUCAUCUUGAGAGAACAUCAAUGGUGAUGCAGAUGUAUGUUGUUCUAAGAGGGCAGGGGGUAGUGUCUCUCCUCCUGCUCCCUCCGAUGCAUAGCCACUUUGAUCAGUGCUCUCCUCCUCUAAAGGUCUAUCAGUUGACUCAGUUACAGUGGAUAUCAGAUCAUCACCAGCAGAAAUUUGGUUUUCAGAGAGGGAAUUUGAAGGGUCUUCUUCCUCCAAUACAUCAUCAAGCCAACCAGUAUCAUCCUCCAACUGUGCAUCUUCACUCUCAUUUUGAGUUACAAUAACAGGAUCAGCAAUGCAAUUGUAACUGUUGUCAAAAUGAGGAGCAACAAUCUGCUGGUGCUGGGCACCACUACUGCCUUGUUGAUCAACUUCCUUAUCAACAUUGUCUUCACAAACCAGCUCUUGAACACAGUACAAUUCUUGAGGAUUAAUGUCGGAGAGCUGCGGCUGCUCAUGAUGAGAAUGAGAGGGUACCUGUUCUUGUGGUUUGAAACACUUUGUCCUUCUAGCAUUGGCCUCCUCAUCCUCUUCAGACUCCCUCUUCCUUUUGUUGGUGUUGUUAUUCCUUUUCAUUCGGCACAGCACCAAAUCCGAGGAAGAAGGUACAAAGGAGGGAUCAAUGGAAAACUCUUCCAUCAUCCAAGCUUUACUUUGAUGCUCAAACUCUUCUUUUGUGUUUUCGUAUCGGAACUUCCUCAUUCUCCCAACAGGGUCUUGAAACCCAUCAAUAAAAACCGGCUUUGAGGUUUCAGUUUCGCUCCAAGUUCCUCCAGACCCAACUGAGCGUGACGAGCGCUUUCCUUUACCCUUGGGACUCAAUUUCUUGAGUCUUACGAAGAAAUACAAGAAGUCUUGGUGAGGAAAUCUUAUUGGGUCAAAGGAAUCCCAGAUAGCCCAAGGCACCAUCCCUGUUUCUCCACAGAUAUCCAAUUCCGGAAAUGGCUGCUUCCCAUUUCCACUAUGACCCAACAUGAUCUGAUUAUACAGAUAAUGACCCACUAAUUGUGCAUCCGUGGGCUUGAAGGUCUUCACAACUCCCCACUGUAGCUCGUCCAGGGUUAUCAACUCCACACUAAACAUAGAACUUGAAGAAAAACAAGACGCCAUUUUUGGGUUUUUUUUUCACCGAAAAAAAUGUGAGAGACUUUGAAACGGACUGCAAUUCAGAGAGAAAUUACAGAGAUUAACAAACUAGGGUUUGCGAUUCCAAGGGUUUCAAGGAGAAAUUCUCGAUGACUAGAACUAGGGUUUGAUGGAUAGGUAGAAGAGAGAACAGAGCAAAGAAAGAGAAGAGCGACAAGAGAGAGAAAAUGACGAAGGUAAGAGUGGAAGUGAUCGAGAACUGGAGCAGCAGUGGGGAUUAUAUAAACUUGUCUUUUGCAACUGUAAAAGAGACUUUUUGACUAGCUGCAAUCACCCUGUCCUAAAAGGAUUAGGAUGUUUAAUCACUAAACUAAUUUCCAAAAAACAAACCAAAAAGAAAUAGGAAAGUUUUCCCUUUUUUUUUUCCAAUUUGAUAAGUCUCUUUUUAAGGAUUAAAAGAGAGUUUAUUUUUAUUAAACUAGCCUCUUAUCCUCCAAAGAAAAAAAAAAUAAAAAAUCCUCUUAUCUCUGUUUAUAUUUACAUUAGCAACAAAAUGCUUUUGAGAAUUUUUCUAAUCUUUUAAAACGUAGUCCUAGUAUUUAUUUCCUGUAAUCUUUCUUUUUCAGAGAAGCAAAAAUUACAAUUUCCUAUACUGUCUCUGCUCCAACUCCAACAUAACUAUGUUAAAGGCCUUGGAUCGAAAGUUUUCCAAGGUUCAAAAAGUUCUCCAUAUUGCAAAAUCACAACUAGCUUAGGAUUGCUUCGUUACAGGCCUUGUGAUUCACAAGUGAAGUUUUCCAAAGUUGAAGGUAUCUGUGUAAAGAUCUUGGAUCAAAAGUUGUAUCCUGCAGGACAUACGUCAGUGUAGCGAUAAUUUCACUCGUAAGUGCAUGAGUACGUACAAAGAUAAAAGCAGUGAACUGAUGACGACCUGGCCCCUAAGCAACGAGUUGCAUGCAACUCAAAUAGGUGCUCACUAUAAAUAGCGGGCUUCAUAUUUUGGUAAGACAAAUCAUUCCUCUUUGGAUCACUAUACACAGCUAACAUGUUUCUAACUUUGAGCGUUAGUGAAAAUUCCACCCGCCCUCCCCCCCCCCUCUCUUUUCUCUCUCCUGACAGUCAAGUUUCAAGUCAACGAUCGAGUGAACCUCCUUGAUGAUUCCUUGUCAGAAUUUGCUUCAGUCCGUGUUUAAUGGUUGCUCAAACUCCUCAACGAAGUUUUUCCUCACCCAACCAGGACAACCAUGUGAAUGAGAAGAAGUCUCAUCCAUGGAAACCGAGGCUAACAUAGUUGUAAGGAAGGGUUACCUUGGGAAUGAGCUCUUCAAACUAGGUGUUAUGCCUACGGAUGGUUGUUACUAAGUAAACUAUGUAUUAUUACGUACUAUGAGUAAAAUAAAUAAGGCUUUUACUUAUUUGCUUGAGUCGAUUGGUCUAUGACAUUCAAUAUUGGGUCGUGUAAAUUAUUGUUCUUUGAAAGAAUGAUGCAUCUAGAAUUUCUGCAAAAGGCGAUCUUGAUAUAUAAUUUCUAUCAAAGUGGAAUCUUAAUGACAAUAGUAGUGACCACAAAAUGUGAAGUAUGCACAUAUAUAAUCUCAAUUUGUAAGACCAAUUUUCAAAUCUUCUAUGCACGACGUGCAAAUAAAUUGUGCAAUCUUAACCAUUUAUAUAUUGAGACCCCCUUGCAUGUCCAAUAAAACUUGUUCUUGUAAAAAAAAUUAAAAGUGUGGACGUGAGGUAGUGUUGUAUUGGUAAGGUUUCCUUGUGUUGUAACGAAUAAAAAUAGGGAUGUGAAAUUCACACUCUCUAAAUUGUAAUCCACACUCCCCACUUUCUAUUUUUAGUCAUCAUUUGGAUAAAAAGAUAAAAGUUAAGUCACUAAAAACAAAAUUUAAGUUACCAAAAAUAGAAAGUGGGGUGUAGAUUAUAAUUUAAGGAGUAUGGAUUUUACUUCUCUAAAAAAAAGGAAAAAAAUGGAAAAGAUUGUCAUUGUGUUUCUCUAAGAGCAGAUGCAGCAAUGGGUUAAUUAAUUACAUGGGUUAGAUCAUCAUAUGGGCUAAAACAUCAUCCACUAGCAUAAAAUUGGUUUGGGUUAGAGCUGGGACCCAUGUGAGACUUAUCUAGUUGGGGUAAGAGUUAACCCACGUCUUAGUCCGGAUUGAUUUUGCUAUGGGGCCACAAUCAUCUUCAUUAAUUGCAAACAACGACUUGCACAUAGUUUUCUACCGAUUAUUUAUUAAAAUAUUUCAACAUGCCUUUAAUAUGGGCCGUUGAGAUCAAGAUCUAACGGACUGUAUUUAAAGGCAACAAUUACUUUCUUUAAAAACAAUUAAUCAGUAAUUCUAGUUUAAUUUCUUUAUAUGUAUUACAUGAGUACGUUGUGUAUAAAAAAUAAUUAUUAAAUUCAAACAAUAAAGCGAAAGAUAAUAAUUAUUUAUCAUUUAAGAAAACAUGUUUUUAUAAAUUAUGAAUUGUAAUUGGUCCUCGGAUUGAUCUUAUUGUUGUAUUGUCGAAUUAAGGACCAAUCGUUGAUUUGAAUGAAUAGUGUAUUAAACCCGGGUUCAUAAUUGGUCCAACCCACCCAAAAUGAGUACAUUUGCUCUAACGAGAACAGAACUAGGACGGUAGGACCAAAAAUUGUAUUUGGUCCGCUUCUUUUAUUUAUAUCACAAAGUUCCUCAUUGUAUUUUGUCGAAACAUAGUUUCCCAUAUUUUGGAUGUGGAAAGAAAAAAAAAAAGAGUAGUUAUUACCGUAGCUUUCUUUUUGGGACAAACUAUCCUGUUAUAGGCACACUUCAUUUUCUCGGCACUGUUUUCUCCUCAAGGAGCCAAACACAGAGUUUCAACUUUGCAGAAAGAUGGGUGAGCUUUCUUUCCAUUUCAUCAUCGCCUUCAACUUUAGAACCCUAGCUAGCACAGUUUAAUGAUCUAAAUCUCUCACGAACUAACUUGAAUUUGCUUUUAGUAGCUACUGAUUCAGUUUGUUUUUCACAUUAUUUCCAUGAAUUUUGACUUUCUAGACUCUGUCUCUAUUUCAGUAACGACCUGGUUGUUCGAUUUCAAUUCGAAACCCUAACUUUGAUGUUAAACAACAGGGAACAAUGACAUGCAAGGUUCUUGAAGAGGAUAAGGCCUUGGACUAAUAUCUCCAUGGGGCAAAGCUGUACUAAUCUAUAGCGAUUGAGGGAUGCCCAAGAGCAGCAUAAGGCUCACCUAAGUCAUAAAGUUGUAGUGUCAUACUCUUAUUCUCGCAUCCUUGUGUUGAAGACCUCAAGGAUCGUGCAAUGAAUGUUUUCUAGGAUAUUGUGAGGACAAGGAAAUGAAACAAUAGUUUGACAUGAUUCAGGAUUACAUUUCCCCUAAGAAAUCCGAGUUUUAUACAAUUUUAUGGUGAAUUUCGGCUUCCUUGAUCCUCAAGGAGGUCAUACUGCCUAUUGUGGCAGUCCACACCUAUGUCAUUAGGGUUGGGGUCACUGCCCGCAAUACCAAUGCUACUCCCAAGGCCUUUCAACACAUGUCCAAACUACUUAAUUAGUUACACAUUUUUGAUCAUGGGGCUCACUUCUGACCCCAAUCACUGUUGAGAUGCCAACAAGUACUUGCUUGAGAUGAUGGACAAGGGUUUAAGGCCCAAUGCUGCUACCUACAUUGUGGUGAUAAAGGGUUUUGUAAAUCAGGAGGAUAAGGCAGCUGAGGGGAAGGGCAAACAGUUGGUCAUAAGGGUUUUGUACCAAAUACCAAGGCUAUGAUGGAGGUUCUAAAAGGAAAGCCAUCACCUUUAAUAAGAAGAGUCAUCUACAUUGUCCUUUCUAAGUUGAAGGGCUUAUGCUUUGAUCUAUGGAUUGUGUGCAAGCCACUUUAGAAUUAAGCUGUUUCUAUAAUGGGGAAGCUAGUCAGAGUUGGAGAUGAUGAUCGAAGGAUUCUAUGUCAUGAGGCAUUUUGUGCUGUUCUCCAUUGUUGUGAAUGCUGACAUUCAAGUAGAAAAUCAUUUAGGAAUGGGUUAUAAUGUGGGAUUUUUUGGUGUCCUCUCUGAUUAUGAAUGUUGACAUCAAGGUAUAUUAUGGUGCGAGUCUUUUAAUCUCAGGUUCUUAUUUUGUGUUCUGCAUUUUUGUUGUCUAUAUUUUCUAUUCCUAGCCUUCUUCUUAUUUUAGUUUAUUGAAAGGUGGGACAUGAAGAACUACUUUUCCCUUUGCUAUAUUUGAAAUGAUAACAAUCUGAAACUGCAUGUAGUUAUGCUAUAUUUACAUUUCAGAGUUAAAAGAUUAAUUAAUUGAGGAAACAAAUUAAAAAAAAACCUUUGGUUUUAGAACAAGAGUCCUCUGGUUGUGCAUUCUCUGCAGUUUGCAUUUCUUUUUCUGGUGUUCUGCAUUCAUUCCUUUUUUUCUUUUUUUUUUUAAUCAAAUGAAAUUAUAUGUUGUUCACAUGUGUGGCAUGAAGAUAUGGUGAUGUUCUUCCCACCAAACACUAGUGGAAAAAAUCACUUAGCCGACGGAACAAUAAUAUUUUUGUCGCCUAAGAUCUACUUAGCCGACGGAAAAACUUCCGUAGCCUAAGUUUUCACCUUGCCGACGGAAAAAUAUUCCGUCUGCUAAGAAGAUCUUAGGCGACGGAAAUUUUUACCUAGCUGACGGAACAUUUAUAUAUAAAUAUAAAUGAUUAUUUAUGAUAACUUAGGCGACGAAAAAUUAUUCCGUCGCUUAGGUUAUAUCUUAGUCGACGGAAAUAUCUACUUAGUCGACGGAACCAAAUUUAAAAAAAAAAAAAAUUAAAUUUUUGGCGGGAUAACUGCCGCUUAAAUAUUUUGAACUUAGGCGACGGAAAAAUAUAUUCCGUCGACUAAGUUCAAAAAUUUUAAGCGGCAGUUAUGCUUGCCAAAAAUUUUGAAUUUUUUUCGGCUCCAUUUUAUAACUUUCAGCUCUCUCUCCCUCAUUCUCUUCAUCUCUCUCUCCCUAGCUCGUUUGCUUGCUCUCUCUCUCCCUCGUCUGGUUGCUGCCCCACCACCACGGCGCCUCCUCCUCCUCCUUCGCCGCGGCACCUCCUCCUUCUCCAAGGAGCGCCGCCUCCUCCUCCUCCUCCAAGCAGCGUCUCCUCCUCCUCCUCCUCCUCGCGGAUGGUUGAUGUCCGUACGGUUACUCUCCGCGGCAUAAGUAAGGCAAUAGAUAAUCGUACGUGCGGUUCCUUGACGGUAGAAUCCCAGCGAGUUUAGCGUCGGAGGUGGAGUGGAGUUGUUCGGGAACACACAAACAUAACCGUUGUGGUCACCGGAGAAGAGGAAGAGAAAGGAAAAAAAAAAAAAGAACCUAAAAAAAAACAAAACAAAAAAAACCGCCAGUUAUUACUAAAAAAAAAAAUUAAAUUUUUACUUCCGUCGACUAAAAUCUUGGCAGACUGAAAUAUUCGGUCGACUAAGUUCCAUUUAGCCGACGAAAUUGAUGAUUUCGUCGGCUAUUGUCUUAGCAGACGAAGCUUAGCCGACGGAAAUUCCAUCGGUUAAGAUCUUUGCAGACGAAAUAUAUGUCUUAACCGACGGAACGGUUCCGUCGGCUAAUAGCCAUAAUCCAGUAGUGAAAGCGUCAUUGAAGUUCCAAAUUAAGUCCACUGUUCUCCAUAUCUUGUAGUAUUUGCCUUCUUGGUUGCACCUUAUAUUUAGUAGUGUCUUACAUAAGCGGCUGCCUGCUGAAGCUGGUAUCUGUGUAACAUGUGUUUCUCCUGAGUUGUCCAAACAAAUAUAGCAUCUUGAUUUGUUCCCCCAUGCCAUCUUAUAACACUUUGAAGUAGGAUUUGGUUUCUAAACUCUUUGAUUGCGGAGAGUGAAAGGAAGUUUAUAAUGUAGGAGAAAAAUGGACUGUGUGAACAGGAUCCAUGAUGUAUGUUUUAAAAGAUGUAUUCUAAAUUUGUUUUGAAUGGUUACAUGGAUUCCGCUAUCACUUGAGCUGUCAUUGUUUUUUUCUUGAAAAGAGUCUGAAAAUAUUAUAGCAAGUAUUGGAGGCGUGUUCUAGGAUAUUCUCUAUGUGUGCCUUGGCCUUAUGCCAAUAGGAUAUGUAGUUAGACUAGAUCUAUGUAUUCAUAUCCUUACCAUAUUGGUAUUGUGUAAUUCCCUAUAUAAAGGGCUCCUAUCAAUGAAUAAGAUGAUGACUCUCUUGCUAUCUCUUUGUCUCUACCAUUAAUCCUUCAUCACGUUAUCAUGCACUUUGUUCUAACUCUAGAGCCAAUAGCCCACCAUUUUUUUUCUAAAUCCUAAAAACCAAAACCCUAAAAUCGAGCAGCCUUGUUUUUCCCGAUUUCCGACCAAAAUUCCGACUGCCCUCCGCCGGAAUUUUAUAUCCCCAGAAAGCUCUCUCCGCCCCGGAUCCAACGCCGCCGAUCUCACCCUGAGAACCGGCCGGAAAGUCUCCGAACCGGCCGCCGGAAGAUUCAAGACCGCCGCCGCUACCGACCACCGGUUCACCACCUUCCCUUGCUCCGAUCAACCUGAAAUUUUGAUAGCAGCUUCCCCAUCCAUAGCUGCUCCUCCUGUCAAAUUUUCAGCCCCAAAUUCGAAGUAUAAGUAGGCGAAACGUUAUUUCUUCUCUCGGCAGCCUCUAGAAAGGUAUGUUUUUUGAAACCUUAAACUUUUCCAAGUUCAAUAACUCGGGGAGGAUAAAAUCAUUUCCUCCCUUCCCCAUCUCCAUUCUAUGCUUGGGAUUUUGUGCGUGCAGGUACCCAAAUCCCGGAAUUUUAUUCGCGGGUCAAGAGUGUGUUUGAUCACUCUUGUUUCUUUGUCCAGGUUGUGUUUGAUCAACCCCGACCUUUCACCGGAUUGUGUUUGAUCAAUCCGAGGCCUUUUUCCGAAUUGUGUUUGAUCAAUUCGCGGCUUUUCCGGAUUAUGUAUGAUCAAUCCGAAGGACAAACCAUUAAAAGCAUCGUUUGUGACCUAUAUCGAGUCUCAUAACAGCUUGGUUUUGUAUGCAAGAGCAAUGUAACAUUCUGCUUCUUUGAGUUUUGACGUACUAGAUGCCUAAGGCUGAUCUUCGCUUGGUAUCUGUGGAACCUUUCAUUGGAAAGGAUUAAACCACAUGUUUUGACCCCAGGCUAACAAACCUAGAUGCCGAGAUUUCACAUCUCAUGCGCUCAAAGUCUUUGAUGCGCCACAUCGACAAAAGCCUUCAAUGGCAAUCUGUGUAAAAAGUAAUGACCACAAAGUACUGUGGAAUGCACUCAUGGAGCGUUUCUCGAAACGUUCAUAUAACUCUACUUGUUGAGUUAUUAGUCAAGUGGAUUGCUUACACUUAAUUGACUACAUAUUNNNNNNNNNNNNNNNNNNNNNNNNNNNNNNNNNNNNNNNNNNNNNNNNNNNNNNNNNNNNNNNNNNNNNNNNNNNNNNNNNNNNNNNNNNNNNNNNNNNNNNNNNNNNNNNNNNNNNNNNNNNNNNNNNNNNNNNNNNNNNNNNNNNNNNNNNNNNNNNNNNNNNNNNNNNNNNNNNNNNNNNNNNNNNNNNNNNNNNNNNNNNNNNNNNNNNNNNNNNNNNNNNNNNNNNNNNNNNNNNNNNNNNNNNNNNNNNNNNNNNNNNNNNNNNNNNNNNNNNNNNNNNNNNNNNNNNNNNNNNNNNNNNNNNNNNNNNNNNNNNNNNNNNNNNNNNNNNNNNNNNNNNNNNNNNNNNNNNNNNNNNNNNNNNNNNNNNNNNNNNNNNNNNNNNNNNNNNNNNNNNNNNNNNNNNNNNNNNNNNNNNNNNNNNNNNNNNNNNNNNNNNNNNNNNNNNNNNNNNNNNNNNNNNNNNNNNNNNNNNNNNNNNNNNNNNNNNNNNNNNNNNNNNNNNNNNNNNNNNNNNNNNNNNNNNNNNNNNNNNNNNNNNNNNNNNNNNNNNNNNNNNNNNNNNNNNNNNNNNNNNNNGGUUCAAGAUUGUCAAGCUCCUUUAAAUUGUGAAUGCAUACAAAAAGGUAUGGAAAAUCAAUAUGAGGACAAGAACGUCAUCCUUAUGAUCACGAAUUUCAAAGAUUCGGAUCCUGCUCUAGCUACCCAUGACUUUGAUGUCAUCGGCUAGACAUUGAUUUUCGUUCCAAGUUAUAUAUACUAAGGCGUUGUAUCGACGUCUUUUGUCUAUUUGAGACCUCGAUGUACUCACAUUAGCAAUAAUGAAUGCCUUGAGAAUUUUUCGAAGUGAAACUAUUCUCCUCUUAUGGUUCAUAUUGAUUUACAAUCAAGAUGUACACUUACAUCGUCCUUAGAAACAUGGCAUAUUGUGCCGAUUUUGGACCCUUCCUUUGAAGGUGACUCAUGGCACUGCAUCCUCAAGGAGGAUCGCCCACGUGUUUCUGGUUAAGUCUUCUACCCUAUAGCGGAUUUUUCAUCAUCAAUUGUUCAACUAGGCUCAUCCAAGCUCAGUGUGAUGUCUUAGAAUUGUCCGAAAUUAAGGAGAUAGUGGUUUUAAGUGUGUCUCGCACUACCGACCCUCCAUGGACAUGCCUGGUCAUACUGACUUGGAGUUACCGAAAGCUUUUGAUUUUGGAUCCCCCUACGCUAUUAAACCAAUUGCCGUCUUGCAAAAGACGUUGAAGACUUAUCAAAACUGGAAAAUUAUCAUCAUGAUCGAAUCCUCUAGGUCCUCUGAGUUAGUUUAUGUUCAUGUCAGGGAGCUUUUGCUAACUAAUCAUGGAGUUUACGACCUUAGAACGAUCGAAAAGACUUGGUUUUGAUCAUACACAAGUCACUUUUGGCUAAAGCAAAAGCCUACACGCCACCUGCAAGCUUCACAGCUUCGCACAUGCCAAAUCUGCGAAAAACAGCAAUCUGUCCCUUUUGGACAGUCAACUUCGUUUGAGCUUUGUGAACAGCUCUGGACGAAUCAGACAGUGAGCUUUAUAUCAUUGGAAAGCUCUAUGAGUUUAGUUUUCAGAACUUUUCACGGUUCGUCCAUAUCUACUUUAACGAAGAAGUUAUGGCUGUUUUAGUGCGCAAAGGUCAUUCUGCGCGGAAAUUUUUAUGCACUCUCGGGAUUGUAGCUUUUCGUAGCUUCUUUCAAUCCUUCUAAAUGGCUCAAGUAGAACUAUUUACUCGCCUAUCUACUCCUUGUAGUUAUGUCUCAUAGAGACAUUGAGUGCUUCGCAGAUAGUGGAACUAUCCACAACAUUCUAAGGAACCAUGUUGAGCUUUAAAGACGUUCAUGCUAAUGGUUUUCAUUUGAAAACACAUUGUGAGAAUGAACAAGAAUUCUUUUGUGUAUACCUCCUCAUGAAUGCGAACUGAAGCGCAUCUUGGAGAAAUUCAUGAGUCAAUCUAGUGAACUGUAUGUCANNNNNNNNNNNNNNNNNNNNNNNNNNNNNNNNNNNNNNNNNNNNNNNNNNNNNNNNNNNNNNNNNNNNNNNNNNNNNNNNNNNNNNNNNNNNNNNNNNNNNNNNNNNNNNNNNNNNNNNNNNNNNNNNNNNNNNNNNNNNNNNNNNNNNNNNNNNNNNNNNNNNNNNNNNNNNNNNNNNNNNNNNNNNNNNNNNNNNNNNNNNNNNNNNNNNNNNNNNNNNNNNNNNNNNNNNNNNNNNNNNNNNNNNNNNNNNNNNNNNNNNNNNNNNNNNNNNNNNNNNNNNNNNNNNNNNNNNNNNNNNNNNNNNNNNNNNNNNNNNNNNNNNNNNNNNNNNNNNNNNNNNNNNNNNNNNNNNNNNNNNNNNNNNNNNNNNNNNNNNNNNNNNNNNNNNNNNNNNNNNNNNNNNNNNNNNNNNNNNNNNNNNNNNNNNNNNNNNNNNNNNNNNNNNNNNNNNNNNNNNNNNNNNNNNNNNNNNNNNNNNNNNNNNNNNNNNNNNNNNNNNNNNNNNNNNNNNNNNNNNNNNNNNNNNNNNNNNNNNNNNNNNNNNNNNNNNNNNNNNNNNNNNNNNNNNNNNNNNNNNNNNNNNNNNNNNNNNNNNNNNNNNNNNNNNNNNNNNNNNNNNNNNNNNNNNNNNNNCAUUGAAUAUUUUUGUACUACAGCUCGUGACUAUGUACCAGGAUUGCAAUCCUUGAGCUCAAACAAGAUUGAAACGGAUCUCCAAUCCUUGAGCUCAGCUAGAUGUUUAUUCUAGGUGCCAAAUCGCACUGCCACUGCGCACAAUGAUGGGUCAUUUGAGAUGAAUAAGUAUUUAGGUUGGAUGUGAACCUCCACCUAUAAUCCGCAUAUGUAGAAACCUUGUCAGACGAUCUCUUUCACCGCUAUAUUGCGGAUUGUCACUUUGAUGAGAUAAUAUUCCCGCCGUUAGGGAGAGAUAAGAACACAAGUGUUCAAGUGGAACGACAUGAAUUGUCGUGGUUUGUCCCCACUAAGUCUCAUCUUGAUCCCAAACGCUUAAAGUGUUAAAGUGACAAGAUCAACAUUGCUGCAAAUAUGUCUGCAAGGAUUGAUGUCCCAUCACGAGGACAUGGCGUGACCAAAAUGUGUUGGUCUUGACGCCAUCACCAUGGAUGGCGAUAUAGUGACGCCAUAAAGUGGCAAAAUUGGUGUCAUAAGGUCGUGUGGCUCCCUAAAAGGAGGGAGACCCUUAGGUUCGAUACUUUCUCGCACUAGGAAGAAAGCGAGCUUGGCAUAACCUGAUCCAUUGAUCAGUGAUACUAAAAUCCGUCUCAUGAAGUCUGAAUUGUGAUUAUCGUUGGGGGACGCCUCAAUGUCAAAUCUAAUCCAUAUAGAGAUCUCUACAAGUAUUACACUAGUGUACAUGAGGACGUGAGAUAAUGAGUCUACUAUCGAACCACCCUUCGUUGAUGGAUAUCAACUUAAUUGAUUGGCCUAAUGGAAAGAUGCGAUCCAGCAUUAACAAAGAGAUAGGUCCUUGGGCAGGUGAUGCCGACACCACAAGCUAAACCCUAUCAACUAUGCCUUUGUUAGAUAGCGUAGUGAGAGUAAGAGCUUAGACUCACCUUAUGGCGCAAGGUCUUUCACUAACACGCACUGGGAUCAACUACGAUGAGAUAUGCUCUCGUAAUGGAUGUCAUUGAACUCCACUACUUUGUCAGUUUGGUAGUUUCCGAAUAACUGAACAAGCAGCCUAUGAAUGUGGUCAUAAUAACAUCUCUAUGGGAUCAGAGAUAUACAUGAAAAUCUUAAACGGACUUCAUUCAUCCGAAUCAAGUGGCUCCAAACCACAGGAGCAUGCGUUUGCUAAAUGUAUUGAAACGCACAUGGACUCUACUUGAUUUGGAAAGGAUAUGGUGAAUUAUGCCUUUGCGUGUUCAUUCCAGAUUUACAUGGACUCUUGAUGGAUCAAGAGAUGCCAAUAUGUAUCAACAUCCGAAGAAAAAGAUCUUGGGAAGACAUGGUCUCGAUAAGGCACUCGAUGACUGUAUUGAUGAUGAUUUUCCAUCAAUCGGCUUAGGCGCUCUAUAACUAGUGAGGCCUACAUAUACUCCCAUGAUUAGUCAAGGUCUUUGCUCUAAAGAGAGAUCCGUUGUUUCCCAUGAUUAGUCAAGGUCUUUGCUCUAAAGAGAGAUCCGUUGUUUUGUCUAAAGCAAGAUGACAAACAUGUGUUAAGAGAUGGAGUUCUCAUCUAAGUACAAUUAGACGCAUCAAUGUACUCAACACAAUACGAAAGACUUGACAUCUCAUUCGCUAUGAAAAGUUGUAAAGCUAAGUGUAGCUAUGCGCCCACGCAACACCAAUGUAAUGAUAGUGACUCCUUUUUCAAUACUUAAUGGUAUGAAAGGUUGAGGCUUAUUCUAUCCCUACAUAAGAAAGACACAUCAAAAGCGAAAUCAGAAUCUACCAAGUUUUGUAGGUCAACUUCCACAGGACCUAUAGGAAAUUUCACUCACUGGAAAAUGGUGAAAUUGGUACCAUUGGAAAGGCCUAUGUGUCUACUUUCCAGAGAAACCAACCAUUUGAUCAUACCUAUCAUAUUGAGUGAGUUAUGGCCGUUUUCGUAAAGUAGGACGAAUCUGUCCGAGAAUCUGAUUUUGGCAAAACAGUCAACUUCGACGGGAUUUUGUGAACAGCUCCUGAUGAACCAGAAUAUGUGUAAUAUACGGUUGGAAAGCUAAAUGAGUCUAGUUUCCAAAACCGUUUACGGUUCAUUAAUAUGUAUUUCCUAGAGGAAGUUACGACUGUUCUAGUAAUUGAAGGUCAUGCUGCGCGGAAACCUGAUUUCCUGCACGAACUUAUGUUUUGAGUUCACAAGCGACUUUCUCCUCAAGAUCUAAGUGUAAAAGAUCAUUUGAGGACAAUAUGGCAUGAUUUAGUUAAUCAUUGCCCAAUGCCACAUUUGAAGACAUGUUAAAAAGCAUUGACAUGCUAAGUUGUUGAAACUUCCGUGAUUAGUAAGAAUCAGAAAGAGCCCUAUGAUUGAUGUAAAGAUCAGGGGGGGUGCGAACUUCAGGGGGAGUCUAGCACAUACAUACAUGUCACUAUCAAAUGUGAAGGGUGCGUUGUACUCUUUUUCUCCUACGAUCAAGGUUCAGUUUUUCUCCACAGGGUUUUUAUGACUUGACGAGGUUUUUUGACGAGGCAACAAAUCAGCACCAUCGGCAUAUCAGCNNNNNNNNNNNNNNNNNNNNGUUGAAAUAUAUUUAUAUAUCAUGUAAAAUAUCUUACAAGGAAUGUAUUAAAUUAUAGCUAGCCUCAUAUGAAUCAUCUUGCUCUCUAUAUUUAGCUAGUGAGAUAGCUAAAAGUCAUAAUAUAUAGCUAAACUUUGGCUAGUCUGCUGGAGCUCCGAAAAAAAAAAAAAAAAAAACUAAACACGCUCUCUAAAAUAGCUAAAAGUUAAAAUAGAGUCUGCUAAAGUUGCUCUGACCACUCUAAAUUUCUUGGAUUUGUUUCUUUUGCCAGGAAUUUUGAAGCACCAAUCAUUGAUCUUCUUCUCCACCACAGAGGUAUUUAAUUAGAUACACUUAUGGUUUGCUAUCUUCUGUGUUCUGUAUAUCAUAUCUUCUCCUGAUUUGUUACCUCAUUGUGCCUCCCAUAUUAAGAUACGCAUAUAAUUGAUUUACUAAUCUCUAAGAUUUGCAGUACGCUGAAGUAGGCUGGUUGCUUAUUCCUCAUAGGUAUUGUGUCGUGUUAUAGAAUAUUUUUUGUUGGUCCAAGCUUCCAUUAAGGAACACCUGAAUAUGCAUUGGGUGGUGCUCUAGAUCUGCAAUCUCAGAGAGAAUAACAAUUACAGAUCUCUGAAAAUCGAAACAAUUUAUGUGCGAAAUUACAGAAAACGAACAACUGAGCAAAAGAGUAGAGAGAAUUGGGAAAGUGGCUCAUUAUAGUGUUUAUAUAUAGAUAGGUGUUGAAGAUAAGCUCCUCCUAGUUUUUCUAGUGGCAUCUGACUCAGUGCUUAUGGAAUGUGCAUAUCCUCAAUGUCACGUUUCAGCUUUGACAAAAUAAAAGAGGUAGAGAUGUGCUCUCCUAUUAGCUUUGUUGUGAAUAUUUACAUUAUUACACUGAAAUGCCAGCACAACGUAUCUCCCAAUAGACCCCUAAAAUGUCCUCAAUAGACCCUUAUUGACUCCAAUAAACCGCCUAUGCAUCCUUCCUUUCCCUACUUUCUCCGAUCCAACUCAGUGAGACUCAAACUCAGCCAUUUCUGAGCUUCUCUUGUCAAUCACUUCAUGGUUUCUCCGAUCAUGAAGCCCUAUAGAGAGCCACCACCAUCUUCUUUGUAAGUCACUCUAAAGCUUCCAACAUUCCAUUAAUGGAAACUCUUGAUUCUCUAUGCAUGUUUAAACUGAAACCAAUGUUGCAGGAAUGAAAUGCUCCAAAGCCAAUCUCUCUAUAAGUCACCCUAAAGCCAAUAUGUGAGUUCCUGUUAUUCUUUCGAAUUGUGAUUUCCUUUAAUCCAUUUUGUUAUCAACCAUUUUUGCUCUAAUUGCUUCUUCUUUUUUCUUUUUUUGGAAAUGUGGGUUAGUCUUUUGGGCAUCACAUCAAUAUUUGGGCUUUGUUGGGGAAUCAAGGAUUGACGCAUUGACAGACCUCCUAUUGCUCCUAGUAGAACCUUUGUUACUGGAGUCCGGUCAACGGUCGUCAGAGUUGGUCAACAUUAAUUCAUAGUAGUUUGGUCAACGAUCAUAAAAUUUUUAUUUCAUAAUAAACCCUGUAUUGCUAUUAUAAUUUUUUAAGAAGCUCUAUUGUCAUUAUAAUGGUUCAGAAUUGAGAAGCUCUAUUGUCAUUAUAUUAUAAUUGAGAAUUGAGAAGCUCUAUUGUCAUUAUAAUUUUUUGAGAAGCUCUAUUGUCAUUAUUGUCUAUUGCUAUUAUAUAUUGUCAUUAUAAUUGUUCAUUGUAGUUUAUAUAAAUCAUUAAAAGUAUAAUUUUUCGUUCUAAAAGUUAGCUAUUAGAAAUUUAACUUUCUGAUUUUAUUGGUGAGGAUUAAAUUUUCCAAAAUUAGGGCUAGUGACCCAAAAUUCUUAUUACACAUAAAUAGGUUGAUUUAUUAUCACUCCUUGUUUAAUUUCGACAUCUACAAUUCGCGGGUUCUGGGCCACGUCUAGGGAUGGCAAUGGGUCGGGUAGGGUACGAAGAUCAAAAUACCGUACCCAUACCCUUUUACAUUUCUCAUCCCCGUACCCGUAAUUAGAUAAUGGGGAUUCCCCAUACCCGUACCCUUUGGGGAUUCCCCGUACCCGUCCCCUGUGGGGAUUACGUUUCCAUAUCCGUACCCGUACCUGUUAACAAUUAUGUAUUAAAUUAAUUUUUUUUAAAAAAAUAUGAAAUACAAUUAUAUAAAAGUAUGAAAUUAAAAUCAAAUACCACAAUAAAUAAGUUUCAUUCUAAUAAAAAUAAAUACAAGUCUUGGUUAAAACAGAACAAUACCGGUAAAUUUCAUUAAGAGAAUAACAAUAUAUAUAUAAUAAAAAGGAAAAUCCAUUAAAUGUUUAUUAAGCGAAUCACAAAUUUUUUUACAUAAAUAUUUAUUUAUAAAUUAUAUAUAAAUAUAUAUAUAAUAAUAAAUUAUAUAAUAAUAUUUUCAUCUUUAAUGGGUGGGGAUGAGAACGAAUAUCAAAAUACUAUACCCGCCCCGUACCCGAUUUAAGAAUCCGAAUACUGGGGAUCUCCAUCCCCGUUACCCGUUUAUACCUGUAUAUCUUCUCCGUUAGGGUCAAAUACCCGUGAGUACCCUACCCAUUGGGAAUUAUUGUCAUCCCUAGCCACGUCCGAAGACAAAAGUCUUUGUUACCGUUGAGGUUACGAGCAAACCUCAUCUCCCCCGUUCUUGAAUUUACGUAGCUGACCCUGCAUAUUAAAUCCCACGUUGUCUAUAGAUACCCCGCCACUGAAACCAGUGAGGUCUCAUUACAUCUUUCCCAAUUCUCUCUUCUCUCUAUCUUGCUCUGUUUUUUCUUCUUUGUGAAAUAGAUCACCACCCGAUUCUCUCCAUCUCUCCCGCGAUAUAGAUCUGUUCUUGGUUUUGUUCUCGAGGACCCACGAAACCCUAAUUUUCCGUUUCUGGAAUUUCGUCCUUCGAUUCGCAGAAAAGGAUUGUGAUCCUAGUUUUCCGAAACCCUCAUUCCAUCACUUCACUUCAUUUCUUGAGUUUCUUCAACUCUUGAUUUUUGGUUCAAAGUCUCUCACUUUCUCUUUGUUUCGUUGCAAAGUUUUGAUAUUGGUUGGAAAACCCAACAAUGGCUUCAUGUUCUUCUUCUUCUGGGUCUAGGGAGUUGAUGAGGUUGGAGGAGCUUCCGUGCGGUGUUGUGCAAACUUUUAAGCCUACCGAUGCACAGCUUGUGGGCCAUUAUCUGUAUGGUAAGAUCAUUAUGGGUUAAGGUGGAAAUGGCAAACAGGCCUUUCCUGAAUUGGAUGUGUAUGGAAUAACGGGAAUGGAGCCUUGGCUUAUUUGGGAUUGCUUAGAGGCAAUUAGAUUUCCUCACCAGGACUUCUCCUAUUUCUUUACGAGAGUGAAGAGGUUGGCUACCAAGGACAAGGGUAAAGGAAAACAGGGUAAGGGUCAAGGAAAACGGUGCUCUAGGACAGUUGGGUCAGGGGGGAAAUGGAGCGAAAACGAGGCUUCCAAGGAGGUAUAUGUCGAUGGUUUUCAAGAGCCCUUUGGGAGACUGAGGAAGCUCCGAUACGAAAACAGUGACACAGAAUUUGAGCAUCACGGUGCUUGGAUGAUGGAGGAGUUUUCCAUUGAACAUCCCGGUGUAGUUUCCUCGGAUUUGGUGCUGUGCCGAUUGAAAAGGAAUGGAAAGAGCAACAACAAAAAGAGGAAGGCUGUAGAGGAUGCGGAGGUGGAGGUGAAUGCUAAAAGGACAAAGUGUUUCCAAGAAGACAAACAAGUAAUUUCUCAUUCUCAUCAUGAGCAGAAACAGCAGUGGCAGCUCAACGACUUUCAUGUUCAGGAACAGGGUAGUACUAGUACCCAACAGCAGCAGCAGAUUCCUGCUCCUCAUUUCGACAACAACUACAACUGUACUGCUGAUGAUGUGAUUGUUUCUCCAAAUGAGAGUGAACAUGCAGUGUUAGAUGAUGAUACCGGUUGGUUGCUUGACGUCAUUGCAUGGGAUAAAGAUGUAGACCCUUCCCUCUAUGAAAACCACAGUUCUGCUGGUGAUGAUCUAACAAUCACUGUAAAUGAAUCAACUGAUUUACAGUUAGAGGAGGAGGGCGCUGAUCAUAAUGGAUCUGCAUCGGAGGGAGCAGAAGGGGAGACACUACCCCCUGCCAUCUUAGAACAUCAUACGUCUUCCUCACCAUUGAUGUCGCAGCAGCAGCACCUGUCCUCUGCAGAUGAUGAUCAAGCAUUUGCUUUUGCUUGUGAUAAUGAUACCAUUCCUAUGGAUGGUGCCUCCUGCUUUCAGUUUGAUGACAGUAGCAACUUCUACUAUCAGUACUUAUCUGGAGAAGCUACACUACCACAGUCAGCACCUCCUCUUGGAGAUGACAAUGGGCUACCACGUUUAGGAUUCUAGUGUAACCCAGUCCUAGCUAGGAGGUGUUUCAGAGACACUUGUAUCUUACUUUAUUAGUUUGGCUGCUUCUCAAACCAAUUCAUUUUGUAAUACUGUUACAUACAUUAAUAUAUAGUUGAUUCUAAAUCUUGUUUUUAUACUCUUUUUGUUACUGUCUCUUCAAUAAAGUUGCUUCUGUUUCAUUCUAUGUGAUUGUGAUUGCCACAUUAUUACUUAUCACUUUGUACUGUUUCAAAACCAUAUGUAUAUAUAGACAAUAGAGUUCAAAUUAAUGAUCUAAAAUUGUAAAUGGACCUUCAAAAUCAGCACACAUGCCAUAAUCAUAUUUUCAUGAACACCAAAUCAUGUACGUUCAAAUCACAUUUUGUUCUUAUUGAGAGUUAGAUAUUGUAGGUAUGGAUACAAUGCCACUGAAUUUCAAUGCCACACUCCAUUACAACUGCACACUUCAACUAUGAGUAAAUCAAGCCAUCUGUAGCACGCAAAGAAUGCCGGUAAUGUUGUUACAGAACUAGGGAAACAUGAAGAUGUGUACAAAGUAGUCAAUCCUGAAUACUUGAAGCACUUUCCAUACCAGAGAGGAAGCUUUCGUAACUUGGCAGCCCAAUAUGAUUACAUGGUUUUAAAAUUUCCUGUCAAGAUUACAAACAUGAGAGCAAAGAACAAUAAACUGUAAACUGAGACCAAGGAACUCUGGCUAGAAUAUUUCAGAAAUCAACAUAAACUACGUUAUGUCCGUGAUCUAAGACAUGGCAUUAAGAUUGUGUGAUAUAUAUAUAUAGACGUUAUUAGGUGUGGAUGUCCGCACCGUGCGGAUGUCCCUCCUUUCGCCACCGGCGAGGGCGCGCCUUCACCCCAGCGGACUCCAGCAGCUUCUCCGACCUCUUUCCAUCCCCGGCGAGUCCGCCGAAUUCCAGUUUUCCGGCUAGAUCACCUAAAACCGCGCAAGGACGCGCCUCCACCCCAGCAGCUUCUUCGACCACUUUCCAUCCCAGGCGAGUCCACCGAACUCCAGUAUUCCAGCCAGAUCACCCAAGUUUGAAGUUUUAGGUGAUCUGGCCGNNNNNNNNNNNNNNNNNNNNNNNNNNNNNNNNNNNNNNNNNNNNNNNNNNNNNNNNNNNNNNNNNNNNNNNNNNNNNNNNNNNNNNNNNNNNNNNNNNNNNNNNNNNNNNNNNNNNNNNNNNNNNNNNNNNNNNNNNNNNNNNNNNNNNNNNNNNNNNNNNNNNNNNNNNNNNNNNNNNNNNNNNNNNNNNNNNNNNNNNNNNNNNNNNNNNNNNNNNNNNNNNNNNNNNNNNNNNNNNNNNNNNNNNNNNNNNNNNNNNNNNNNNNNNNNNNNNNNNNNNNNNNNNNNNNNNNNNNNNNNNNNNNNNNNNNNNNNNNNNNNNNNNNNNNNNNNNNNNNNNNNNNNNNNNNNNNNNNNNNNNNNNNNNNNNNNNNNNNNNNNNNNNNNNNNNNNNNNNNNNNNNNNNNNNNNNNNNNNNNNNNNNNNNNNNNNNNNNNNNNNNNNNNNNNNNNNNNNNNNNNNNNNNNNNNNNNNNNNNNNNNNNNNNNNNNNNNNNNNNNNNNNNNNNNNNNNNNNNNNNNNNNNNNNNNNNNNNNNNNNNNNNNNNNNNNNNNNNNNNNNNNNNNNNNNNNNNNNNNNNNNNNNNNNNNNNNNNNNNNNNNNNNNNNNNNNNNNNNNNNNNNNNNNNNNNNNNNNNNNNNNNNNNNNNNNNNNNNNNNNNNNNNNNNNNNNNNNNNNNNNNNNNNNNNNNNNNNNNNNNNNNNNNNNNNNNNNNNNNNNNNNNNNNNNNNNNNNNNNNNNNNNNNNNNNNNNNNNNNNNNNNNNNNNNNNNNNNNNNNNNNNNNNNNNNNNNNAUUUUAAAAAAGUUUCAAGAAUAUAUACUGUAUAUAUCUGAAUACUCACAAUAUACCUCUUCAUUAGAAAAGUGCAAACAUAACCAAAAUGUAGCAUAACCACAACUCAUGCAAGUCCAUGGUGUACCUGAGAUGUAUCCAGAUGUCAGAGUCAACAAAUACUCCAUUUGGGAUAUCCCAUACUGUAUCAGUAAUCAGUAUCAAUAUUUGCACAGAUACAAAUACUCCAUUUGGGAUAUUCCAAAUUUGCAGUUUUUAAAAAGGUGAUUCUAAACAAUGAACAUGAAUUCAUGCCAUCAAAUAAGUAGCAACAAAAAGAAAGUGGAAUUCAACAAAGUAGGGCAAAUUGGUGGUGGUACGGAAAAAAGUUGAACUACUGAACAAGUCUUGUGCAAACUCAGGUGCUAAAACAAUGUUUUCAAAGAAUUGAAAAAUUGAGGAGAAUAGUAUUUGUUUUUGAAAGUAGAAACUGUAGUAUGCUAGUGGAAAGUUUACCCUGAUCUCCAGUAUUGUAGUCUCUUCAUAAGCUGUGUGACCCUGUGACCUUGAUUAUAAAUUUUUAAGUGCAGAAUAAUAUAACUUCCGGGCAUUUACAAGACGGGUUGCAGGGUUUGAUUCCAACACAAUGCAGGGACUAUAUAAUGUGAACCCAGGGUGUGGUACACUACUGCAUUAAAGCUAGCUAGAAAAGGCUAGAGAAGUUUGGAAACUUGUUGGUGAUCGAGAAAACUGCAGAAGCUAACAGAGUUAAGAAUCAUACAGUAAAUAACUUUGUUGAAUGGUAAUAUCGCAAUAUCAAGGAUAUGAGCCAGUCCUAGAGAAAAAAAUCUAUCUCCUAGUGCAUUGACAUGACCUCCUUCCUAAAACAUCUCUGUGUACUGUCGACUCCAUGUUCUCGAAGAGAAAGUCUAUAUCUACUUCCACCAUCUUUAUGUACUGAACUACUGAUUAGCAGAAAUAAUGUACUGUUAUUUUUAAGUACUCCCUCUUGUUUGCAACUCAAGAUAUGAGUUAUGGCACUUCGACUCUCUAUAACCAACAAAGAUAAGUAGCAUAAAAAAUCGAAUAAAUGAAGCAGCAGAAUAUUAAAAAAAUCGAAGCAGCAUUCUGAUGUGUAAUAGAUCAAAUAAUCAAGGCAGCAUGAACCAUUCCAUAUGACAAAAUAUUCCAACAAAAUAAUAAACUAGCCCUUCUCACGAAAAACUUGAGGGAAAUUAUCAAAAAUAAUCACAAGAAUGGACGUGGGGUAUGAUUCCAACAAAAUGCAGGGUAUACAGAGAAAACGCAAGGUACAUGACAGGGAGUUAAAAGUAUAUAAACAAAGGGAAGUGGUCUAGUACCUACAUGGCUACACCAGCAAGCUCCUUAGGGAGCAAAUUGCAGAAGACAGGACUUAUAUGGUACUCCACCAAAUGCGGAGAAAAGAAAAUGCUUUCAGAUGGUAAACACUAUUCUGCAAACCUUGCCUAAUAUGUGUCUUACUAAAUAUGAUGGCAUUAGCAGCUACUAGCCCAGCAACCUCAUGUUUAAUAAUAUACAAGGUAUAUGCCACUCCAUAAACAAUUGUCAUUAUUCCCUCAAACAUUUCAGAAGAACAUGCAACCAAAACUCUAAUGCAUAUCGUUGUUUAAAAUUCUCUCAAGUCCAAGAAUACUACAAGUUUCAAUUUAUGUGUUUUGACCUUUGAACAACUGUUGUCAAAAGCAAUCAACAAUAAGGAAUAUCAAAAUUUCUAGCAAGUAUUCUAAUGAAUCAGCCCCCGACAUGUCCACACAGAUUUAAAUAACUUUUGAAAAAGGCUACCAACAAAUACAAAACCUUCUUGCAAGAUAUCAAUCACUUGACAUUUAACAAACAAAAGAUUGGUACUUCAAAUUCAACAAGAUAGCCAUUGGUUAUUACUGGUAAACUCUGCUUCAUUAGGGCUUUCCCAAUUCCAGAGACAACAAAAUCCCAAAAAACUGCUUGAAUAGUGCUUCAAAAUAUGAUAUCAAAUACUAUAUGAGAGCUCAAGCAGAGGUAAAAUUCAAAACCUUGAUACAUGGAGAUACCUUUAGCUGCCUGUAGUCUAUUUAAAGGACGAUGCAUUAAUGAUUGACAGAGAAUCUAAUACUUCUCAUGUCAGUAAACUGUAAAGUGCAUAAUUUACAAAUAUUACCCAUACAGUCAAAUAAGAGAAGAAUGAAACGAAUGAAUGUUACCUUAGAUGGACUACCACAAAACAGAAGCAGAAUACUUGUCUCUCUCAUUUAAAACAAAAGAUAAAAACACAAUUAGCAGAAAAGCUCACCUUAAAGCCCUGUAAUCAGGACUUAGAGGGACAUCUUUACUUCAACCACAGGAUUGUUUUUCUUUUGAUUGAAACGAAGACAGAAAUAACUUAAUGAAGUCAUGUAAGCCAUAAAAUAAUUGUACAAACAAAUAGGACGAGUUCAUUAAGUUUGAACAGAAGAGAAGAAGGGAUCAAGAGUAAAUAUACAGUCCGCAAGAGGACACUUGUACUGAAAUUGAAAAUUUAAGUUUCUUUUGUUUACUCAAUCAAUCAAUCGUUUAGUUCUGAAAAGUAAAUGUAGCAUAACUACAGUUUCAGAUUGUUUAUCAUUUCAGAUAUACCAAAGGGAGAAGCAUUUCUGCAUGCCCCACCUAUCAAUAAACUAAAGGAGGAAAAAAAGAAAAAAGAGACAACAUUAAAGAAGAAAUGCAGAACAUAGACUAAGAAACCGAGUUUAAAGAAAUUACCACCAUAAUACUGUUGAUGUCAACAUUCCUAAUCAGACAGGACACCACAAAAUCCCACAUUGUAACCCAUUCCUACAUGAUUUUUCUACAUCAAUGUCAGCAUUCACAAUAACGGAGGACAGCACCGGAUCCCCUCUUCACACAGAAUCCUACAUCAUUCCUGCUUUGACUUAGCUACCACAUCUCUGAAACACCCUAAUUCUAAAGCGGCAUGCACAUAAUCCAUUGACCAAAAGCAUCAGCCCUUCAACUUGGAAAGGACAAUGUUCAUGAUCCCUCUAAUUAGAGCUUUUGGUCUUCCCUUUAAAACCUCCAUCAUAGCCUUUUGCAUUCGGCACAAACCCUCUGUUUAUCAUCACCUCCACCAACUCAUUGCACUCCUUCUCAGAUUCCUUGUCCUCCUGCUUUGCAAAGCUCUCUAUCACAGCAGUACUGUAGGGCCUCAUCCCGUUUUCUAUCAUCUCAAGCAAGCACUUCUUGGCAAGUAUGUAGGAGCUCCAAAGAAGUUGGGAUCAGUAUGUAGGAAAUUUGUAACCACAGGAGCUCCUAUACUGAAUUUCAAGUUUCAAGUAUUUCUAUUGUCCACCUGAUCUAUCAUUUUUUUUUCUGAACUGUGAACCUAGAAUAACUAAAAUGCCAAAUUUUUUCUCCUUAUAGAUAUACCAAGGAUGAAGCAUUUCCUCAUGCCUAUCCUUUCAAAAGAACAUGAUUCCAUGUGGCUAGUGAAAAAAACUAAAAGAAUUAACAGCAAAGACUACUUGUCUACAUCAAUGUCAACCUUCACACUAUUAUCAGCUCUCAUACUACAAUAUUUACUUGGUCUCUAAUAAUUUAGUCACUUCAUAAGCUGUGAACUUGAAUAUAUAAGUGCAAAGUAUUAUAACUUCCUGGCAUUUACAAUACUGGAUGCGAGGUUUGAUUCCAACAGAUUGAACGACCUAUUAAGCGAACCCAGAGUUGUACAGCAAUAAAGCUGCAAUUGAGAAGCAAGGGAAGCUCAUAAACUUCUUGGAGCAGAAGCUGAGAGAAUAAAAAAUCAUACACUAAAAAACUAUAGUUGAAUGGCAAUGUAGCGAUAUCACUGAUAAGAGCAAGUCACACACCAGAGAGGACUCAUUGCAACAACUUUUGCAAGUAAAGCAGGCCAUGUGAUACCGUGGAUCAAAUAUAAAAAAACUACAAGAAGGGAAGUGGUCUGGUAUCUACACUACUUAUACGUCAUUCCAACAGAAGAGGAGAAAAGAAAAUGCUUUGACAAAGUUAAUACUAUUAUGCAACCUCAUCUGCAUCUAACAUGCAUCUCAUAAAGAUGAUGGCAUUACAGCUACUAGCCUAGCAAGCUCAAGUUUACUAACAUACGAGGUAUAUGCUACUUGAUAAAUAAAUAUUAUUCCCUCCAACACAUAAUCUUCAGAUGAUCAAUCAACAAGAAUCAUAGUAUUUCAAACCAUAACUCUGAUACCUGUUAUUGGAAGUUGUUUAAAACUCUCUCAUGUCCAAGAAUACUACCAGUUUCAGUUUAUCUGUUCUGACUUGUGAACGACUGUUGUCAAAAGCAAUCAACAAUAAGGUAUUAAAAUUGCAAGCCAGUGUUCUAAUGAAUCAUCCACCCGGACAGAUAAGAUAACAUUUUUUUAUAACUAAAGAAAAAGCUAGCAUUAAAUCACUAAAAACUUCUUGCCACGAUAUGAACAGUUGACAUUUCACAAACAAAAGAUUGGUAUUUUGAAUUCAAUCAGAUAGUGAAAGGUUACUGCUGGUAAACUUUGCAUUAUCAGGGCUUUACUAAUUCCAGAGACAACAAAGUACUAAAAUAGCACUUCAAAACUAUAAUAUCAUAUCAUCAUAUGGUAUAUGAGAGCUCAAGCAGAAGUAAAUCUCAAGUUAAGUAAUGAUGGUUAAUUUAAAACCAUGAGAGAUGGUGAAAUCUUUUCCUGCCUAUACUCUAAUUUGAUAGUCAUAAAAUUAAAGCAAUCAAGAGGAAGCAUGUCAUCCAACUGAAAAAUGCAUAAUUUACAAUUAUUCCCAUACAGUAAAAUAAGAGAAGGAAAUGAAUGAAUGUUACCUUAAGUGGACUGACAGAAGCAGAAUUCUUGCCUGUCUCUCAUUGCAAAGUAAAGCAAAGACAUGAUUAGUAGAAAAGUGCACUUCAAAGCCCUUUUGUCGGAUUUAAAUGGACACCUUCACUUCAACCACAUGAAACAACUGAAUGAAGUCAUGUAAUCCAUAAAAUCAUUGCACAAACUAAUAGCACCAGUUCAUUAAGAUUGAACCAAAGAGAAGAAUGGAUCAAGAAUAAAUACACACAAACUGUAGAGAAUGCAUAACCAGAGGACCCUUGUACUGGAAUUGAAGAUUUUAAGUUUCUUUAUGUUCCCUCAAUCAACCAAUCAAUCUUAGUUUCGAAACGUAAAUGUAGCAUGACUAAGUUUCAGAUUGUUGAUCCUUUCAGACAUACCAAAGGGUGAAGCAUUUCUUCAUGCCCCACCUUUCAAUAACUAAAAUGAGAGGAAAAAAGAAUAGGAGACAAAAAAGUUGCAGAACACAGAAUAAGACACCGAGAUAAUAGAAAAUAGCACCAGAAUAUAUUUUGAUGUCAACAUUCAAAAUCAGAGAGGACACCACAAAAUCCCACAUUGUAACCCGUUCCUACAUGAUGUUCUAUUUCAAUGUCAGCAUUCACAACAAUAGAGAACAACACCAAAUCCCCUCUUCACACAGAAUCCUACAUCAGUUCCUACUCUGACUAUCUACCCCAUCUGAAACAUCCUAAUCCUAAAGCAGCUUGCACAAAUCCACAGAGCAAAACAUCAGCUCCUCAACUUGGAUAGGACAAUGUUCAUUAUUCCUCUUAUUAGAGAUUUUGGUCUACCCUUUAAAACCUCCAUCAUAGCCUUUGCGUUUGGAACAAACCCCUUGCUUAUCAUAACUUCCACCAACUCUUUGCACUCCUCCUCACAUGCCUUGUCCUCCUGCUUUGCAAAGCUCUCUAUCACAGCAGUGUAGGUAGCAACAUUGGGCCUCAACCCCUUUUCCAUCAUCUCAAGGAAGCACUUCUUGGCAUCUCUAAAGAAGUUGGGAUCAGCAGUGAGUCCCUUGAUUAAAACAGUGUAAGUGUAGGAAUUAGGGGUAACCCCAGCAGCUAACAUUCCCCAAUAGGCCUCCAAAACAUCCUUGGUCUUGCCAAGCUUGAGAUAGGCUUCAAUUACGCAGGUGUGAAUCACAACCGUGGGCUGCAUACCGAUCUCAGCAGUGCGCUUACAAAUCUUGAUGGCAUCGUCAGCAUUGCCAUCCUUAAUCAAAGCUUUAAUCAUCUUCACAGACAAACUGCUCAGGCCUUUCGGCUUGGUUUGCCAGUUGAGGAAUUCUUUCUUCAUAUCCUUGUCAGUGGCCUUGUUGACAAGAUCAGCAUAGAGCUUUAUUCCCUUCAUUGCUUCUGCGAGGUGGCCUUCUCCAAAGUGAGGGACAUAGGAGUCAGGGGUAAACCCCUUUGCUUGUAUCUGCUCAACAAACUCCCUGGCCUUCUCGGCUGACUCACAGCAGGUAAUGGCAUCAACCACAGUCAUGUAGGAGGUAGAGGGGGGCUUCAUCCCCUUAUCCAACAUUUCCAAAAAGUACUUCUUGGCAUACCCAAGAAAACUGACAUCGAAAGACGAGUGUGUCGCAAGUGAGUCGAUGAGUAUGAUGUAAGUGCAGCAAGUGGGGGAGACACCGGCGGCUAUCAUCCGGUGGUAGACCUUGAGAGCAGCCUCGGUCUUGUCGACAUAGGUGUAGGCCCAAAUGAUAAUAGUGUAGACGGCCACGUCAGUGAGAAUGCCCGACUCAGGCCGAGGCUUAAAGAGCUCUUUGGUUUCAUCAGCAAGGCCGGAAUCGGCGGCCAAUACAUGGUAGGUUCGAAUGGCAUUCUCGUUAAGGGAGUCGUAGUCCCUGAUCGGGUCAAACAUGUAUUUCGAAUAAAUGUCCUCACGGUCUUUGGUGGCCUCCUCGAAAACCUUCAUUACAUGUUUCUUGAGGUCAUCGGCUGAAGAAUUGGGGAGACCAGCGUCCUCCAUUGAUUUCACUUUUUACUCUAGUUUAGUUUGAACAGAAACUAAAUCUAAUUAAACCACAGACCCAAAUUAGUCAAGUGAAGUGAAAUUAGGGCUUUCUAUUCUAAAUCAAACUAAACAAGGAACUAAAGGAGAGGACAAAUCAGUAAAACGAAUUUAGGGUUUUCCAUUAGAAACCAAUUUAACCCACGUCUGAGAUUUAGAUGGAUCAAGAGCAGUGAUUUCCAAAUAGAAGACGAUGACGAAAUUUCACUCACCUUUCCCUGAUGAUCUGCUGCGUUAGCUCGGCAGGAUUGAAACUAUGCGUUCUUUGCUCCAGGAGGAGAAGAGAACCCGUAGACCAAUGAGACUUCGAGUUUCCAAAUGCCUUCGAACUUCGAAAUGCCAAAAAUAUAGGACUUGGAUGUAAUAUGUAAAUAUGUAAGAACCAAAUUUUACAAAUAAGGACUAUCUUGGACUAUUUAAUAUUUAUUAUGUUGAGAAAUUUUAAAUACACAUUUUUAAUAUCUUAAUACACAUUUUUAGUAUUUUAUAUUUUACAUCAGAUUUUAUAGGCAUAUUUAAUUAUAAAAACAUCUAUUAAUUUUUAGGGGGAAAAAAAAAAAACUUCAUUUUCCUUAAAACGUAAUCCUUCUUCACUAUUACUACAGAUCAAAAUAAAAGAAAUAAAAACCUCUUCUCCAAAAUUCAUCACCUGAAUUUCGACUACUGUCGUAAUCACAUAUACUAUUUACCGAUUCAUUUAGUUUUUUUUUUAUCAAUUUUAGUUUUUAUCUUGCAUGCUAAAAACUAGUUUUUAUGCUAUUGUACUUCUACUAGUUUUUUAACUUUGAAAAAUUAUGUAUGUUCAAUAUAUUUUUUUCUUCAGAUUCUAGCCGAUUGAUGUCAUAUUGGAGAUUUGGAAUUCGAAUAUAAUAUUAUUUUUUAUAUAAAUUAAAAAUUNUCAAGAAAAAUUUCUAACCCGAUCAAAAAAACUCUAAUUAACAAAAAAUAAAAGAGAAUAUGUAAAGAGAGUUGUAAAUAGUAAAUAUAUAAUAAUUAUAUUAAAUAACAGAUUAUUAUUAGAUUAUAUAUUGAGGGUAUUUUAGGCAGUUUGGGAUGUGUAUUUAAUAUAAUAGUGAAAUGAAAAACUAGAUGUGUAAUGUAUUAAGUAAGGAGUGUGUAUUAAGAGAUUAGGGUGUGUAUUUAAAAUUACUCUUAUGAGACUAGAACAUUUAAAAUUUUACCUUUGUGUCCUCAGUGUUCUGUGUUAGCUAGGAAUGAGAGUGUCUCGUGGUUUGUUCUUUAAUUUGUUUUUUUUUUCUGAAGAAAUUUUAAAUACACAUCCUUAAUAUUUUAAUACACACCUUUUAUUUAAUACACCACCUAUUAAGUUUUUCAUUUCAGUAUUAUACUUAAUACACAUCCCAAACUACCUAAAAUGCCCUCAAUUUAUGAAAUAUUCUAUUAUUUAAUAUAAUUAAUAUAUAUUUACUAUUUGGUACCUCUUUUUACAUAUUAUUUCAUCUAAUUUUUGCUAUAAAUUUCUCCUAUACAGAUGUGUAUGUUAUGCAUACAACCAUCUUAGGCAAAAUUUCUUCAAAACAUCUACCCCACCACCCCCCUGCUUGAACAACAACCAUAUGUUGAGAGUAUGUAUAGCAUACCCAUCUGUAUAGCAGACAUACCCAUAAAUUUUUGGUUAUUAUUGUUCAAUUUAUAAUCAAAUGAUUAUUGUUAUAUCCCAACUCCAAAUCACCAAUACAAGUUUUCAAAAUUCAUAAGCUAAUACAAUUGUAGAAGUACAGUAGCUAUUAAACAUAGAUAGCUAGUUAUUUGAUAAAACAUGUCAUAAAGAUGCAAUACUUGACAAUAUGAUCUGUAAGAUCAAACUAAAGCUGAUAAUUAAAGAUGCACUACUUGACAAUAUGAUUUGUAAGAUCAAACUAAAACUCAUACGGAUAUUAAAAAAAAAAAAAGAGAGAGAGAGAAAAGACAACCUAAAUGAAUUGGGGAGAAGACGUGCUUUCAACGAUUUAAGAUAGAAGACGUUGAAAAGAAUACUUCUAGCGCGAUUUUUUUUUUAAUAAUAGAUGUAUGUUUUGGUCAUUUAGCUUACCUAUAAAAUCUCAAUAGAAACAUAAAAUAAUAGGGGUGUGUAUUAAGAGAUUAGGGGUGUGUAUUUAAAAUUUCUCUUUUUUUGUUGUAACCUUUUAAAUAGAAAAAAACAAUUUACGAGAAAAAAAAAGUUACAAUUUAUAAUUUAAAAAUUGGAAAGCUGGAACUGUCGACUACAAAGCUACUACUACUGUCUGUUGAUUAGGAAAUUCAUUGGGAGCAGGUACUAAGUUAAUUCAUUUUGAUUGAAUUUUCACUCUUUCUCACCAUUUUCUUCAAUUAUUUAUUAAAAUGAUUUAGUAGUAUCAGAUUUUUAUGAGCUCAAAUCAUCAUCAUCAUCUUAUUGGCUCUAGGGUUAGAACAAAGUGCAUGAUAACGUGAUCAAGGAUUAAUGGUAGAGACAAAGAGAUAGCAAAAGAAUCAUCAUCUUAUUCAUUGAUAGGAGCCCUUUAUAUAGGGAAUUACACAAUACCAAUAUGGUAAGGAUAUGAAUACAUAGAUCUAGUCUAACUACAUAUCCUAUUGGCAUAAGACCAAGACACACAUAGAGAAUAUCCUAGAAACAGUAUCAGAUUUUUAUGAGCUCAAAUCAUGGUCUAGAUGUAUUUAAUCUACAUCCUUGUAAUUAUGUUUGUGUUUUAACUAUUCAAAUCAGCUUCUUAUCAUAAAAAUGACUGCAUUCCAUUAUGAAUGUUAGGGUCUUGAAUUUGUAGUGAUCAAAGUCAUAAACAUUUCUAUAAAAAUCAUUUUCUUUUGUUUUACGGCUAGGGCCUCGACAAGCCAGGACUAGCUGUUGAUUCUCCGAAUCCUUCUCCUCCAUAGAACGUUUGAUGUCCUAUGACUCCUAUCUGUUGUCAUUUAUUUUUCAUCCUUUUCUUUUCCUUUAAAAUUCUUUUUUCACUCCUAUGUAUUUUUCUCGUAUGAGGUUAUGGGUGACAAUAUUUUUAGGGUGCGGCUAUUGCCACCCCACAAACCACUUUUGCUCACCCAACAUGUGGUUGAUUUAUUAAAAGAUCAAAAUAACCUGAUAUAAAAUUACAGUAAAAUUACAGUAAAGGACAAUAAGUUGCUAAAAAUUACAAAUUCUUUUUUUUUUUGGAUGAAUAUGUACGUACUUCAUAAACCUUAACCCAAAUUUAUCAUAUUCGAUCGUUCUAGGUCUGAAGACACUAUCAUUCAACCUGAAGAUGAGGUGAAUUGUUUGUAUCUCUUCUUUUAUUUCUUCUUUUUUUUCUUUGUUGACGCUUCCGUCUAUCAUUUUACUCAUUAUUUUUCAUGUCGAUUUUGUAUGUAAAUUCUCAUGAACAAUUGCACUGUAUUUAUAAACAACGCAAAGAUCAGUUUAUAACACUCAGAAUUCUGGAGUAAUGGAGAAGAGAAUGUAUGGUGAACAAAGUAUAAUUGAGAAAAAUGUAGUUUAGGGAUUGUAAAUGGAUGAACAAAGUAAAAUUAGGAAAAUUGUAUUUUAGGUAUUAUAAAUGGGUGAACAAUUUAUAACACUCAGAAUUAUGGAGUAAUAGAGAAGAGAAUGUAUGGUGAACAAAGUAUAAUUGAGAAAAAUGUAGUUUAGGGAUUGUAAAUGGAUGAACAAAGUAAAAUUAGGAAAAUUGUAUUUUAGGUAUUAUAAAUGGGUGAACAAAGUAAAUUUAUAAUUAAAAAUAUAUAAACGGGGUGUGAAGAGAAUGUGGGAUGAGUAAAGUGGUUUGUGGGGUGACAAUAGACGAACCCUAUUUUUGUUGGGAAUUCUGCUUCAACCUACAUCUUUUUUUCUUAAGUGCUACGUAUUUCUAUAAGAAAUUAUGAAUAGAUGCAAAAUUGAAUCAAAAUAUAAUUUAAAAGAUUAUGUUUCAACAUGCACAAUCGCAUAUCAUUGUAAACAUCACUGAAUAUGAAACUGCAUCGGAUAAUACAUUGUCGAUCUCAAUUCCCCAGUGAAGAUAAUAGUCCGUAUAUGGUAUGGGGUGCCAAGCAAAUCUUGGCCAGAAAUUGACAAAAGAUACUAAGAAGUUGAGAAAAAGUCUCACAUAGCUAACCCACUUUCCUUAGUUUGGCACCAGAUAGAACUUGGAAAGUCAUAAACAAUCUGCCUUCUAUGUAACUACUUCAGGUGAUGAUCUAAAAUAUGAAGUCAAAAUCUAUCAAAAUUCUAGAGCAAAACGUGCAGUAGUAGGAAGCUAUUUCUAAUGUUCCAAACUGCAACAUUAAUGAGGAUCAUCUGAUGACAUGAUAUGAUACUAAAUCAUAAACACCAAGUCUUGUUAUCAAAGAUAUGCAACAUAAUGACAGUGUUGGUAUACAAAAGAUAAUAGUGGUAUAGAAACACAGUACUUCCAAAAUCAUAUUGGUAAGAGAGUAAGCAGUCUUGUCCAUACUUCAUGUGCUACAAGUCAGUACCAAUGAUGAAGAAUUCAGUUUUGCUUAUGAUAAUUUCAGUGUUCCAAUGGAUCCAGCCUACAAUAUCAACUCUGAUGAAUUCAGCAACUACAACUUUGGAGAUGAGUUCUUGUCGGGAGGGGAUGACAUUGGUACAGCAGAUAUACUACAAGGCUCAUCAUCAUUUUCAGAGCUGCUUGAAGAUCAGAAUCAUGAAGUAUAGUUGCCUAGAUUGAGCUCCUUAGUUAAAUUAGUUCGAUCUCGGAACAAGAGUUUUGUACACGUUACUGUAAAUCAUGAAACUAGUUGUUUUGAUGAUGUACAUAAUGUCAUCUGUUAUUUAUGGCAAUUGCAAAUUUGCAAUAGCUGCCACAGCAUACCCCUAUAUAUACAAAAUCAAUAAAGCUCCUAUUUCUUUUGUUAAGUUUUGAUGUUCCUAUUGUUGUCAGACAUUUAAUUUGAUUUUAAUUGUAUUGUAUGCUAAUCAUUGUGGGGGAUAGAAUUUCAACUUUUGGCUUGGUUUCAGCUUUCAAAUAGGAAGUGCAUCCUUUAGCACAAACAAUCAAGGUCUAAAAUAUUGAUAAUUUUGUGAAAGAAGACAACAACAUUCAAUAUAAAGUACUUCCCUCGUAGUGAUAACCUCUUAGACUUAAGCCUCUAAGACUUCUGAUCAAUCAAUGUAGAUUAUACAGGCAAUCUCAUAAUUUAUUGAUUGUUCAUUGUUCUACAAGGAAAGUAUGCUAAUAGGGCUUGAACCCGAUUAUCAUCACCCAGUAGUAACGUACGUCUAAUUUGGAAACAAUUAUUUUGGCACCAGAUGCAACUUAAAAUGUCUAAACCAAGUCUAGAUUAAACUAAUUAAUAGCAUCAAGUGCAGUAGCAGUAAGCUGUUUCUGUUUGCAACUGCAAAAUUCAAGAGGAUACUCUAGUUCCUUAAUAAAUUACUUGAUUUUUUUAAAACAAAGAAUCUGAGUUUUUCUUAGUAUCAUCAUACUGCAUCAAAGCUUAAGAUGUCCUUAAGCAUAUCAUGAACUCGACUCAGCCUUUCUACAUCUUGGGCAGCCUCAUAGGCUUCACCUGCCAGUCUGUGAUCUGCAGCAUUCGCAACUCGUGGUGUUCAAACAACAGAUACAUCCUUUGUGCGCUGGAGGGCAGCACAUAUAUAUCUUCUACAAUGUUUCCAAACUCCAAACUACGAUAGUCCGAAGCUCGCAAGUCUUGUACUGCUACAAGGCAAUCUGAUUCAAUGAUAACAUCUAAAAUUUUCCUAGCUUGAAUAAACUCCAGAGCAUCCUUAAUAGCAAGCAGUUCCACUCGUGUAGCUGAAGUGACAAGAGUUCUGUGUCAUGAAAAAGCACCAAGAACUGACCAUCGUGAUCUCUUAGAACUCCACCUGUUCCACCAUUUGUGACAUUGAAGAGGAAACCUCCAUCCACGUUGAGCUUAAGCUUCCUUACUGCAGGCGGUGUCCAUUAAUACUGUGAUUUCCUCACUGUGCUAGCUGCUGUUUGUGGUUGCUCAGACCACAAAGUGGAGUUUCGGUUCUUCCAUAGUCCCCAAAUAACCAUCAACAAUUUUUGAAACACUUCAGUAAUGAGAGUCAUUGCUUGUUCAAGCAUCCACUCUUUAAAGUUAAAGACUAAAGAUUUAAAAACUGAAUACUUUUAAAGGGAGCACCUGUGAUGAUUUCCUUUGCAAUGGGCACUCACAAAAGAUAUGUGCAGUAUAUUCAUAAGGGUGAGCGCAUGAAACACACUGCCUGUCACCCUGAUAACCCUUGGUGGUGAGUUUUGCUCGAGUAGGCAGCAUAUUUUGACAAGCCCUCCAUGCGCACGUCUUCACAGUAGCUGGCAGCUUAGAUUUCCAUAUAGUACUAUAAUAUGGAGCAGCACCAGCUGAAUCCUCUUACCAAAGCAGUAAAAUGAUAGACCUUGUAAUUUGGCAUAUUGAAACUACUAGCUAGUUGUAUAUAAAAAUGUAGCACAAAUGAUAUUGGUAAGAGUUACUGAAAAUUGAGUAAGUAGUAGCCCAAGUCUUGUAUAAAGUUCACACUUCACAUCCUAAAAACCAAAUGUUAAAAGUAGAAGACAUGCAGUUACUGAAAAUUGAAAAGAAAACAGCUCUGUUUUUUGGAUUGGAAGCUGUAGCUUUCUAAGUACUAGAGGCUCGUGAAACGCCAGAUGAAACUUCAUGGUCUGCAAAAUUCGUUAUGUCGCCAUAAGCUCCAAUCUUGAUUGUAAGUUUCUGGGGAUGAUUCAUAUAACUUGGUAUUUACAUGAUUGCCUUUUCUAUUGCAUUAUGUAGGUUUGGUUAAAAGUACAAACUCAGUGCAGAUAUAACUAUAAUGCAAACCCAGGCGUAUAGAACACUAAAACUGCUAUAAGCUGAUACAAGCACACACACCUCUUACUGUGAAAUCUGCCAAAGUUUUUUUUUUUUUUUUUUUUUUUUUUUCAACAUGAAAAAUUCGUAUAUGCAAAGAUCUAGCUUAAAAGUAAAUUUACAUCUCUGUAGCAUGUGGAAUUGCAGCUUUUUUUUAAGGAUACAAAAUUUCAUGUUUACUGUCAGUCUGCUACCAGAUAUCUAGUCAUAAAAAAAAAUAAAAAAAUAAAAAAAUAUUUGUACAAAAGAUUUGAGCACCAUCAAUAGGAGAAAAUUCUAAUGUUGUGCAAAUUAAACAAGUGCUGCAUGAUAUACACUCAUAGUCAACCUUGGCGUAUAUGAAGGAGAGAAAACUUGAACUGUAAAGCUGUCAUUCCUUUAACCACUGGCUUUCAGCUUCUGAAAUAGAUUAGUUCUCAUAUCAAAACAUCUUUUAGAAGUUCAAGGAUUGAUAGCUGCUCGAGCUGACUCGAACAAAGGGAGAUUUGUAAGAUUUUUAAUUCUACAGAAACCUUUGGACUACCCUUGAUCAAACCAUCUAUUGUGGUUUUGUGCUAUUGAGAUGUACCGUGUGCCAACAACAUCUCAGUCACACACUCACACACGAGCUAUCAAAAUGCAGUAGUCCCAGUUCAUUUGUCAAAACUUCCUGACUGUAAGAAUACUCUGAGUUUCAACUCGUACUGAUCUCUGAAUACAUUUAUCGACAAAUUAAUAGGAAAGAAAACACAACUGUAGUAAAAGGCUCAAAACCAAGGAAUAAGAAACAUCAAAAUUAAUAGGAAGUGUGCUGUGAAAAAACAACGCCUGCCACGCGAUUCGAAAUGAAGCAUUAAAUUCAUAUUAGCACCAGAUUACUCGAAUUUCAACAUUCACAACAAUAGAGUACAACUACAACACACAGUUUAUACUGAAAUCCAGUUUUCUAAUCUCACUACCUCCUCCAUAUCUGAAGCCUCCUAAUCUUAAAGCUUGCUGGAAUAACAUCCAGGAAGCAGAGCAUUACUGCUUCAAGGUGGAAAGGACAAUACUCAUGGCCCUUCUAAUUACCGCUGUUGGUCUACCCCUUAAAACCUCCAUCAUUGCCUUCGCAUUAGGCACAAAUCCUUUAUCCAUCAUUACCCGCACACACUCUUUUCCCUCCUCCUCAGCUGCCUUGUCCUCCUGCUUUGCAAAGCCUUCUAUGACCGCAGUGAAGGAAGCAGCAUUGGGUCGCUUUCCCUUGUCCAUCAUCUCAAGCAAAUACUUCUUGGCAUCUCCAAUAAAAUUGGGGUCAGCACUGAGUCCCUUGAUUAAAACGGUGUAAGUGACAGAGUUGGGGGAAACCCCUGCAGCUAACAUGGCUAGGUAUGCCCCCAGAGCACCCUUGGUCUUGUCGAACUUGAGGUAGGCUUUAAUAAUGGAAGUGUGGAUUACGACCAUGGGCUCUACAUGCUUCUCCUCAAUUUCAUUUUUGAACUUUGCGGCCUCUUCUAAAUUUCCGUCAACUAUCAAAGCAGUGUACAUCUUGUUCGACAGUUUCUGGAUGUGGCCAGGGAAGGCGCUCUUCAUAAAGAAGUAUUUUCUAACAUCCUCGUCAACGGUGUGAUUGUGUACAAGAUGAGCUUGCAUCUUCAGUGUUUCCCUUGCUUCGGCGAGGUAAGCUUCGUUGUAGUAAAACCCAUUGUCGUGAAGAAUGAACCCCCUGGCUUUUAGCUGCUCAAUGAACUCCUUGAACUUAUCCAGUGGCUCUCGGUAAGCAAUGGCCUUCAAAACAUCCCAGAAGGGUGUACGCUUGAGCUUCAUCCCCUUAUCCAACAGUUCCAGAAAAAACCUCUUGGCAUACCUAAGGUACUUUGCUUUGGAAAAGUCUGUUGAAAGUACACAAAUGAGUUGAGUGUAAGUGUAGGAGACAGGGUUGAAACCAGAGGCUAUCAUGUGGUGGUACACCUUGAGUGCACUCUCGGCCUUCCGUGAACCGGAGUAGAUAGUGAUCACAAUGGUGAAGACAGCUACUUCAGACAGAAUGCCCAAGUCAGAGAAAGGCUUAAACAUCUCUCUAGCAUUGUCAGUGUGGCCGAUAUCUGCCAUAAAGCUGAACAUUUGAACUGCCCAAUUGUUAAGGGAAUCGUAGCAACUCCCAACCGUGCGAAAUACUCUUUUCAAUUCCUCGUCCUCACAGUCUUUGGUGGCAUCCUCGAAAACCUUCAUUGCAAGUUUCUUGAGGUCAUCAGCAGAGGAUUUGCGGGAACUAGUUUCCGCCAUUGAUUCGAUUUUUCUACGUGGUUUAGUUGCAGCAGAAAUCAAAUAAAAACCACAAAAAUCAGAACUUGAGUGAAUCUAGUGUAGAAUAGAAAAGACCCAAAUAAGUGAAGUGAAGCCAAGUUAGGGUUUUCCUACUUCAAAACACUCGACAGUAUAAUACCCACCGAAAUGUAAUAAGUUCGAACUUGAAUUAAGAACUAGUGUAUAAAGAUCCAUAAAUUUCACUGAAAUGAAGGUAGCCAUAGCUAGGUUUUCUACUAAAUUAAGCAGUAGCUGCUGUGUGAGCAUUCAUGUAUUGGGGUUUCAAAAUGAGACGAUUAUGAUUGCAGAAGAAGUAGAAAAUGAGAGAAGAGCACUCACCUUGCUCCGACGGCGGCAGCUCUGGAAGCAGUGAACAGUAGCAGUCUCCUCUCUUUCUUUCUCCGUCGCUGAAAUUUCAGAAAUGUGAAAAAUAAAUAACAACGCCCGUGUUUUAUAAUCUACUUCCAUUUUCUUUCUUUUCUCGAUUUUGGGUCUUUUUGUGUUGUAUAGAGUAUAGACUGGCCCAGCCCAAAAAAUGAAGAAGGAAGAUUCAUAUCAUCAACUAUCUAUGCAGAAGCAUCAUCAGCAGAAGCAUGCAACAUCGAUCAUCAAUCCAAUUUGUCAAACAUGUGCUUAUAUUUUGCUUUUGUGAUAUAUGUAGAUUUAUGCUGAUAAGGAAAGAAUUCAUUUCUAUCUCGUGUAGUGGUUACACGAUGGAAGGAAUUUUCUCUACUAAAUCUGAUGCAUGUCUACAGUUUCGGAGUGUUGGUGCUUGAAAUCAUAAGUGGCAGCUAGGAGGAACAAACGCUUUUACAUUGUUGAACUUAUGUGCUCGAUGAUCUUACUCAUGAUCCCGAAUUGAACUUCUCCAUAGAUGAGUUCCAGCUUCAGGAGGAGGAGGAGGAUGAAGAGAGCCUUAACAUGCUUAUUGCUUGUUUUGACCAAUGGGUUUCCAAUCCAACUGAGUAGAGAGCCCUUUCGACUUGUAACACCAUUGAGGGGUUUCAGUGACUCUUGUAUCCACUAAAUUGUUCUUUUGGUUACUUCUCAAACCAAUUCAUUUUGUAAUUUUGUUAAUAUCUAUCAAUGUAGUUCAUUCUUUUUGGUCUAUUGGCACUUUCAAAUAUUAUCCUCGAUCAUUUUUUUCAUCGUGUUGCUAAUUUAGAGCAGCAAAAGAAUUAUUAACAGAAAAGCAUGCAGCAUUUUUUGUUGAAAAAAGAAAGAAAAAAUAUAGCAUUGAAGCUCCACAGGAUUCAAUUUCAACAGCAUCUUCCUCUUCUUGUUUUAGAAAAUGACCUUAUAUUGACGAAAACUUCAAGCAUACAACAUGGUUUGGAUCAGGGUGUAUCUAAUCUUUCAGAAUUAGAACUCAAAAUGAAAAAGGAUAAUUAGACUUAAACUAGCAUCAGCCUCCACAAAAGGAGCAAUGUCUUCAUUAACUAGCAUCAACUUCCACAUUCCAGCAGAGUUCUGUUAUAGAAUAGAGCAUUUAGGUCAAAGCAGUGUCGUUAACAUGUCCAUAACCGAAGGCAAUAAGGAUAUGCAAGUGUAGGAAAUCUUACCCCUCAUAUUUGGUCCUCUAGUAAUGAGAAUAUCCUUGUACGGGGCCUUCUGUUCAACUUUUACAAAAUUAGGAGUAGCAAGAACUGCAGAUGACAACACAAUAUAACCAUCCUAGAUGUAAAAACAAGUGUUUAACAUAGGCAGGCAAGAAGAAGUGAGUAUGGAUUGCUACCCCAAAUCCUCUUCGAUUCAUUCCAUCAGUCUGUGGGAGUUACAAACGACUGGGAGCCACCUCCACUAUGAAGAUCUUCAACAGGAUUUAACAUAUUAUAAAUUGUCAGACAUAAACUUAGUUAUAGACUAAUAGUUUUCUGAAGAGGAAACUAAAAGCAGCUGUAUUUCACCGGGUCUUGAUAAGUUUGUCUUCCAGGUGGUGACCAUGACAAUUGUUCUGGAAGCAGAGGUCGAGAGGUGGAUGCUGCAAACGAAACCUGGGCCCUCUCCCUGUACUUGAAUUAUUCAUGCAAAAGUUCUCAAUGCGAACUAUGAUACUAACCAGAAGGUGAAUCAUGGGUAGGUUUUUCCUCAAAUAGCUCUAAGAGAAGAGCUGGAUAAUAUAUUUCUCCACUUCCAGGUUAGAAUAAAUGACCCAUGAGAACACUAGCUGGCUGCUCCAUUAGUGUACCAAAACUUCAUAGCAGACAUUAUAUUGUUGGGCUGCAACAAAGAAGUCACAAGGACAGUAGAUGAAAUAUACACAAGAGUACGUUUAAUUCCAUGAAAGAUUUAGGACAUAAUUGGACAUCAGGAACAAACCUUUUGAUUUCUUCAUCUCCUUGAAACUAUAUCUGAAGUAUCUUGAAGCCAAGAUUGGUAUACAUGACCAGGAUGAAUUGUUUGGUCAUUAUCCAUUACAGAGAGGCUGGUGAUUUUCUCUUUCUACUCUCCUUAUAAGCCCCUGCCUUUGUUGAGCAUUCUUUUGAACGUCCUGCAUCCGCACCAUUUCAUCAGACACAUUAUCAGGCUGCAGUCCAUCCUGAUGCUGAUCUUGGCAAGGUGGAGAAGGUAUUAGAUUACUUGGAGAAGGUGGUCCAAUAUGUGUUGGCUCUCCUGAUGUGAAGUCUAAGUCAUCUCCCUCAAUUUCAAAUCUGCCAUAUCAUCCAAAGACAAUGAUAAAUUGGAAUUUGAUAAUGAUUCUUGCAACAGACUGAUCAAGUAUCAGUUAAAACAGGAAUGAAAGGGCUUGAAAGUAGCAAGUGAGCAGAGGGUUCGCAAACUCUAAUGAAGAAGGGACAUUGAAACACAAAAGAGUUAACACUUUGUUCUGCUCAACCUUUAUGAUGGGAAUCUAAAAUCAAACGUUUAUAUAUAGUGUAUCAUGGUAAUGAUUCACCUCUCAUAACGACGGUUAAACAAGUCUGCAUGUGCAUCUGAUGGAUCAACGUUUAGGCAAUGUGAUGUCCUCAAGAUCAGCUGAAUGCAAGAAAGAGGGGUGGGGUAAGUUAGGGGAUGAACAGAUUAUACAUGUGUGAUCACCAUUGAAAUUAACUGAAGAAGGAAGACCAAAUAAAUAAGAAAGGACCUUGAUGUAAGUUCUGAUGUUGAUCUCCCUCUGCUGCAUUAUCGUGAAGUGGUUCUCCCACAUCUACGCUAUCCAGUUGCUGCAAGCACAGAAAAAAGAUUGGGUAGAAAAGCUCCAUGAGAUAUUGCAAAGAAUCCAUCAAUAAUGAAGUUUGUGUUUGCAUUUUAUACUAGACACAAUAGAGGAGAAAAGUGUAUUGUGUAAAAGGAGUGAAUAAAAGGAACCGAUUACUUCAAUUCAUAGACCUCCAUAUUCACCAACAGGUUUAAAAUUUUUCUGGGCUCAUUUGUGCAGUAUGCUCUUCAUUGAAAGCUUCAGCUUCUUAUACGAAUCAUCGAUGUUCUGCAAUUGUGUAAUACACAAGUCAGAAGGUAAGAACAAAAGAAAGGCAAACGGUAAAUGGAAACCACAAAAACAUGUGGAGUGGAAAUUAUACCUUCUGUUUCUCUCAUGCAUCAUUAUCUAUCCUCCUCCCUCUAGUUACUUUUACGCAGUUUAAUAGGCCGAUUCCCCACGUAUUUUCCUGCAAUUAUUGUAAUAUUUAAAAGAUGUACGAAUUCAACCUAAAAUAGAGAAGAAACAUUCAAUAUGUUCACCGAAUAUCAAACUCCAAGAACUGUAAGGAAGUCGUAUACCCUAUUAUAUUUACCUCUUAUUAUUCAGUAAGCACUCGUGCAUAUGGACCCCAGACCAUAUAAUUUCUUUCUGAAGUCCUUCUAAAGACUCUUCUUUUGGUUCAUAGAUUUAAGUCUAUUCCAGGUCGCAUUGCCACAUUCAAAUACCACAUUUAUGUCAGACUGUUGGAGUUUUAGCUAGUUUAAAGGACACAUAUUUGCAAAGAUCCUACACUGUUAGGGACUUAGGGUACAUUGAUCCGCAUGCAAUGCAUAGUGCAGUAAAAGUAGACAAUCCAACAAAAACAUAAGCAGAAAACUAGUUAAGGAAACAUGUAUUAUUACCAUUCAUUUCCUUGCUCGCUCCAGCCAGGUCUAAAGGGUUAACUAACAAAUACAAAUCCUUUAGUUUUGCCAGUCCUCUUGACUCUGACAACCUAGAUACAGAAAUAACACAGGCACAUAAGAAUUCUUACUUUCAAACCAUACAAGAAAAACUCAAGUCCAUGAUAGAAAGUAGAAUAAGCACAAUGUAGUAGCUAGGAACAGGGCACAAGAACUGAAUGCAGGGGUCACAAAUCUGAGGGUGAACAUAUCCUUUGCCAAGAUGUAAUGUAGAUGAACAUAAAAACGAAAACCAUACAAGUCAAGACAUAUCCUUUGCCAAUUUGCAAUGUAGAUGAACAUAAAAAUGCACAAGUCAAUUUGUCUGUAUAGGGUGAUCUCUUUUCAUGUAAGCUAACAACGUCUCAAAAGAAACCCUGAAUAAUUCAUAACUAAGAAAAUAAUAUGUUUGAGAAAAUGGUGUCUAAACGUAUGUCAAAACUAUUUUUAGGUUUUGUUCUACUUUUGCAUUGCUUUUCCAUUUUGAAAGAAAAUCAGGUGUAUGCUUAUGUUUUUCACAGGUACCUGAAAGCAAGUAUAAAAUUCAAUAAAAAUAUCUCAACCCCCUACAUUGAUAUGCUGUGCCACCGUGUUUCAAGUGAAAAUGCACAUAUGCAAAUGCUAGUAGAUGUUAACUCAAUAAAAUUUAUCAAGGAAACUGAUAGCUAGUGUUGAAGAUUUAUCAAAGAACUAUCAUAUUGUCAUUCAAUAGAACCAUUAAAGCUUGAAUACAUUACAACUCCAGUUAUUUGUACUACCUCAGUAUGAUUCUUAACUAAUAUAGAAGUGGAAUAGAAUUAACCCUUAAGAUGAAACUACUUGUCUUGGUGCCUUUUUUAUUUGCUAAAGUACUGAUGCAGAACAAAAGACGAAACCUCUGUGGUUUCUUACAUCCAACAACACUAAAUUAUGAUUAUGUGGAUACAGAAGCUUUUUUCAGCACUGCCCAGCCGCUAAAUAGCUGGCUAUUGCACUUUGCACAAGUACCAAUUCCUAACCAACUUUGCUUCCAAAACUAGAAAUUGAGUAAACCAAUUCACAUGAAGCAUAUCUUCCAACUUGUCUUCUUUCGCAUUGGCAUUGUUGAUAGUGCAUAAAUUAAGCAACCAAACAUGAACUUAAAUACAAACAACUAAAUAUGAGCUGAAAACUAAGACCUUACAAGUUUCAAAUGAACCAAAAUUUGCAUCUUCAACAAUUAAAGCAAGCAACUUUUGACAAGGCCGGGGUAUCAUCCACAUCCAAAAUUUAAAACAUGGGCAUCACUUUUUUAACACCACGAACAGUAAAUACAGAUUGAUCAUAGUAAAUUGAAGCUUGGAAUUACCAGAGAAGAGAGAGGUGCAGACCAGAACAGCCUAAUUGUUAGUGUGCAUAGUGGUCUCUGAAGAAGAAGAAGAAGACCCAAAUGUGUUGACUUUGACCAAACGCAGCCAUAACUGCUAACCCAUUUGAACAAACUGCACAUGUUGAAGAAGCCAACUAGUUAACAACUUUGGGUGCACAAUUUGAUAGAUGAGUGAGAAAAGCAAGAAGCUUUGGAUCAAUUUGAUAUGGAAUAAGGGAACCCCAAUUUGAGAGUUGGUAAUUACCUUGACUAAUCUCAUCCCCAACUUCCUUCAUCCUGUCGGGUCGAACCUAAAGGAUCAAACUGACCUCAGAUAUUCAACACCCCUCAUUUCAAUCUUGGACCCAGAAACCCAGAAACCCUGCCUCGUUUUAAGAAAGUAGUAACAAAUGAAAUUACUAAAAGGCCCUAAAACAGUGAGAGGAGAAGUUCAUUACGUCGGGCUCCAACGGUCGAAUUCUCUAAACUUAUCCCUUAAUUAAACUCUGUCUUGACUCCGUUGACAAUUUGGCUUCCCGGGCGACAGUUGUCAGAAACCGCGUGAAAGCAACGGUAAUAUUUCCGAGUCUAUCUGUCUAUAAAACACACUCAUAAUCUCCCACUUCACUCACUCACAAUUCUCAAUUGCAUCUUCUCUCUGCUUCAAUUCUCUCUGUUUCAGAUCUGUAAACCCAGAAUCCCCAAAUUCCCGAAACCCUAAUUUAAACCCAGAAGGAAGGAAAUUCAGGGAUGAUGGAUCGUUGCACUCGGGUGGUGGGUCUCAGAUUCCAUCCGUCCGAUCAAGAGUUGAUCGGACACUUUCUUUUCAUCAAGAACAACCCCAAUUCGGUGCCGGAGAUGAGAUCCUCGUUUUUGCGGGAGUUUGAUAUGUACGGUGAGGUAGAGCCGUGGACGAUUUGGGAAGCCAAUGGGGGACCGCUUCUCGAUGACCAGGAUCUCUUCUUCUUCACUCGCCUUAAGAAGCACAAGAACCGAAUCAAUCGAAGAAUUGGAUCCGGUACUUGGAGCCAAGGCGAGAACUACAAACCAGUUUAUGCCAAAAACAACCAAGAAACCCCAAUUGGGAAAAAGACCAAACUGAGGUAUGAGAACAAAGAGGUGCCGGAGCAAAGCGGUUGUUGGUUCAUGGAUGAGUACAGCGCUGUUGAUGAUGGUGAUUAUGUGAUUUGCCGACUCCGAGAGAACCCUAGCAAGAGACCAUCACCACCAUCAUCAAAGCCUAGUGAUAAAAAGAGGAAGUGUCAACAUGAUCCAGAGCCUAGCAAAAAGCCCAAGUCGACAACCAAUGAGGCUAGAAAGACCGUGUCUUUGAAUCAGAGGCCUAAUCCUGAGACGCAAUUCGACACUAUGGAAAUGUUCCAUCAUGAUCAGGAAUAUGAGACUCAACAAUAUUUGUUGUUAGAGGGUACUGGAUUGGAGGAAGUACAAAGGGAUGUAUUAGCCCCUGCCGUUUCAGAACAACAACACACAUGUUCAUCAUCAUUCGCGCUGCUCAAUACUACCAACGACGUGUUUGGGUCUGAAAAUGACAGUGGAAAUGCGCAGUUAGAGGAUACUGAUUGGCUUGGUGAUGCAUUGGAGGAUGUAGAAGGGGAUUCAUUAUUUCCUGCCCUCUCAGAACAACAAACAUCAUUCAUGUCACAGAUGCAGGACAUUCCUUCUCAAGAAAACAUCAUUGAGUCUCAUAUUCAGUCACCACAUUUGCCUCCCAUCGGAUCAGAAUCGCAACAACCAGCAGAUCAAACUGGGUUGGUUAUUAGCGAUCCACAAGUCAGUACCAAUGAAGAAUUCAGUUUUGCUUAUGAUAAUUUCAGUGUUCCAAUGGAUCCAGCCUACAAUAUUAACUCUGAUGAAUUCAGCAACUACAACUUUGGCGAUGAGUUCUUGUCGGGAGGGGAUGACAUUGGUACAGCAGAUAUACUACAAGGAUCAAUAUCAUUUUCAGAGCUUCUUGAAGAUCAGAAUCAUGAAGUAUAGCUGCCUAGCUAGAUAGAGCUCCUUAGUUAAAUUUGUUCGAUCACAGAAUAGGAUAUUUUUUGAUAUCACUGUAAAUGAUGACAAUAGUCGGUUGUUUGAUUAUGUACCUUUUAAUGUCAUAUACUUCUGAUGGCAAUUGUAACAGCUGCAGCAGCAUACUAAAUCAAUAAAGCUCAGAUCUGUUUUCUUAAUAUUUUGGUGUUACUAUAUAUAUUUUUGUAAGACAUUUCAUUUAAUUUUAAGCCUACUGUAUGCAUAAGAGACAACCUGAAUUUCAACUUUUGGCUUCAAGUCCAACAUCUCUCCCUACUGAUAUCAAGAUCAUUGCUAAUACACUACAAUAUUCUAUUGUAAAUUCAUACAUGCUCAGUCUAGCUUUUUUGUUAACAACCUGCACAGAUGGAUUCUAAAACACACCAUCACAAUUUCUAACUCAAAAUUCAACUUAUCUUCAGUACAAGGAAUAAAUGCAGUCAGAUCAAAGCUAGUUAAGGACUAGAAAAUCUAACAGAUCUUUCAGACAAAAAUUCAUUUGAGAACUAAGACAUAAUGCAAUCAGAUCAACGGUACUUAUUCACCAGACAAUCUAACAGGGGUAUGACAAGAACAUAUAUUCAAGAAGUUGUAUUUCAAGCAAAGCAUCAACUUGAUCAACCCAUUUGAUGUCUCUGUAAUGAGCGAAAUAGCGAAGACUAGUCUCAGGCACUUAGGCAUUCAAGAAACCUUUGAGCAAGAGUAUCAAUCACAUAGUUCGUUAACCUUUUCUGAGUAACCAGCCCUCCAUUGGAGAUAUUCAAAAAGUUGCAUACUUCCAUUUGGUCUUGCUUCAGUAAUUUCCCAGCUAGUUUCUUAAGUGACAUGUCUGUCUUUAUACUGUACUUGUGAUGAACAUCAGGGAAUUCAUUCCUCUUGAAAAUUAUUUUCUUCAUAACCUAAUCAUCAUGUCUAGCAUACUCUUAUCAGUGUACUUACCUUCAAGAUAAAAACGUACGUCGUCAUCAUCCUGCAAAUUGAUCUUGCUUGUUCCUAGGUUUUACACAGGUUGAAUCAUCUCCAACUAGCUAUAAUUUGGACAUAUAGACUGUAAAUUUAUCGACAGAAAUUGUAAUCAGAAAAAAAAAAUCAAAAUAUUUUACAAAAUUUGAAAUAUAUUGUUUUGAUGUUUAAACUUUAAACCAAUGCUGGCUGCAAGAUGGUAAGUUGGCCUAGGGCUCAAUCCCAAGUGAUCACUUUGGGAAAUGGACUAGCCAUCUCCAUCCUAAGGUUCUGCGACCAUGAGUUUCACCAUAUAAGGGUUAGAAUGAACCUAGGCGGAGGUUGUAGACUGUAGAGCAUACUCAGUCGCCUUUUCUAGGGCUGGCCUCCCUUGCCGGAACUAAAACACUCAUGCUCAUAAUUGCAAUGACCCUGCUAGUUUUGCAAUGCAGAAAGGCAUCUAUUACUCCAGUUUCCUAGUCUUGUUAUCAUAGUGCAAUCCAUAGUGUGAACUCUCUAAAUAACAGAGCAAGCUGACUAUAAAUGGUAUAUAUAUAUAUACAGCCCUUCUUGGCUGCGGACGUCCGCACCGAAGGUUUCGGUGCGGAUUUCCAUUUUUGCACCACUUUCCGAUCGAAUUUCAUCAUCUCCACCGUCUAGUAUCUAGAUAAUAUUGUGUAGAUCAUCUCUGCAAAAUUUUAGCCAAUUUGGUGAUCGUUAAGGCCCUCAAACUCGAGUUAUUCUGGUAUGAACACAACCGGAUAGAAUUUAGUCCGUUCAUUUGUUUUUCGAGUUUGAGGGCCUUAACGAUUAGCAAAUUAGCUAAAAUUUUGCAGAGAUGAUCUACACAAUAUUAUCUAGAUACUAGACGGUAGAGAUGAGAAAAUUCAAUCGAAAAGUGGUGCAAAAAUGGAAAUCCGCACCAAAACUUUGGUGCAGAAGUCCGCACUUGAGAAUUCCUGUAUAUAUAUAUAUAUAAACGAAAACGAUAGAAAGCGCACGUGCGCACAGUUCUUAAAGUUCGCACGGAGCUCCAUUCGCCACCGUCCGGCGCCAACGAUGGCGCGCCUCCCCCCCCAAAAGACUCCAGCAGCGUCCUCAACCACUUUUCCUCCCCGGUGAGUCCAUUCUUUUCCAGUUUUCCAGCGAGAUCACCCAAAACUUCAAAUAAAGUCGAUUUCGCCGGAAACUGGAAUUCGGUGGACUCACUACCACAAAAACAGCUUUAAACAACGCCUAUCAGACGACGUAUAACAAUAAACCGUCGUGUGAUUGAUUUUUAACUUUUUAGAUGUCAGUUUUCUAAAACAUCAGGUCACUCAAAUUGUGAGGUGCCCAACAUGUAAGAGUGAUACGACGCUUUGUUACAAAACUGUGGUAUGACUAUAUGUAUUUUCAGCGAAACCAUGUCCGUCAAUAUUUCCCUCCAACAUUCCUUAAAAUUCACACCUAAAUUUGUAGGGAAUGUCCAAAAUAAAAGUUUUGGAGAUCAGACCAUGUUUAUUGUUGUUUACAUUGUGUGAUUUCCUGUCAAAGUGAAUAUCAAUUGAUAGCGCUCAACUUUCCUCUUACAUUUGAACCCAAAGUUAAAUUCUCCCCCAAUACUACUAGAAAAAAAAAGAAAGCACAAAACCUAAAUCCUCGACAUCACACUCACAAAACCUCACAGCUCUCGACAGCUCUCGACCAAAAACACAAAACCUCACAAAACAUCUCGCCCACCCUCAUCUACCUCGACAUCUCUCCCAAAUUCACACACUCAACCCAAAACCUAGCAUCUCUCCUCUCUCAGCCUUCUCGGAGACGGCGACGAAGCUCUCGGCGAGCCCUAGCCUCUAUUUUGAUUUGUCUCUUUAGAGGUACGCCCUAGCUAGCUCUAACACCUCUCUCUCUCUCUCUCUCAUAAAUCGAUUUCAAUUUCGGCUCUAACCUCUCUCUCUCUCUCUUUCUCUCUCUCUCUCUCUCAUAAAUCGAUUUCGAUUUCGAUGAUUGAAGGUUUCAAUUUUGAUGCAGGUGACUACAAUAUGACUUGGAGCUUUGAUUUUCUGAAGAUAUUUCUCUCAAGGUAAUUGUUGGAAUCAGAAUUGCGGGGUUUUGAGUUAUGGGUAUUCGAUCUGUUGCUGGGUUUUGUGUUAUUGCUUUGACUGUGUUGCAUGUUGUUCUUUUCUGGAUUUUGGGUUACUGCUUUGGCGGUGUUGCUUUUAUUAAUGACUGUUUUGGAUUUGAACAAUGUUGAUGGUAGAUAUAUGUGUUGGGUAGCUUUGAGCUUUGUUUCAUUCAUAUCAAUUUCUGGUUUCAUUCCGGUUGGAAUUCCAUUGUGGGGGUAUCAUUUGAGUGGGUAAGUAUUAAAUAGGUUGAUGCAGGUCCGUUAUACUGUUCUAGUAUAUAUGUUCUCAUGUUCAAUGAGCUUUUGAUGGUUUUGUUAACCAAAUUUAAUUGUGUUGUUAGCAGUGAUGAUAUUGAGUGUAAAUUGGUGGUUUCUUUUAUUUUCUCUUACCCUAUGAUUCGUGACUGUAGAAAAGUAAGUUACCAUGUUGCUAGUUGAUGGAUAAAGGCUUUGGAAAGUAAUUGGUUUCUUGCCGCUUGCAGAUGUAAGAAAGUUAAGCUGGGCAUGUUGCUAGUUGAUGGAUAAAGGCUUUGGAAAGUAAUUGGUUUCUUGCAGCUUGCAGAUGUAAGAAAGUUAAGCUGGGCUCUUUCGUAAGAUAUGUUAUUUCUUUUAUUGGUUAGCUGUGAAAGUAGGAUUUGAGGAUCUGUGGUAUUGUCAAUUCAUUUUGUAUGUGUGUAUAGUCAUACCAAAGUUUAUUUGUUCAUGCAUUUGUAUAUGCAAGCAUGUCUAUUGAAUUGUUCAAAACUUGGGAGCUAUGCAACAAUCUCUGGAAUGCAGAUACAAUCAAGUUGUCCCAUAGAGAUUUUAUUUUCUCUAUGUGUAAGAGAGAUUUAGUUGAGUCAUGCAAACAUGAAAGUGUCACAUAAAAUGCUCGAGCUAUUGUACCUACUGUGCACCCAUUCAGCAGCUUUCUCCAAAGAUAAGUCACUCUCUUUGUUGUCUGUUAUUCUGAAAAUUCAAAGCAUGCUAAACACAGGUAUAAUAUUUCUCAGCUUGGAUUCUUAUAAGCAUGCUUACAAAAGUAUAUGAAAGGCCAUGCUUCAGUGUUGAUAAACAUAGUUGCUAGACAGUGCAUGCUUCUUUGAUGUAUAGUUUGCUGAAUAUAAUCGUACCACCAGCUUUGAUUUAGUACUACCCCUUUGAUGCUAAUAUGCAUAGCCACGAGUUUAGGCAAAAAUACAAAAGGGGAACCUUGCGUCAAACAUGGUUAGUCGUGUUCCCAGACAUGUUCCACUAGCAUUCCAUAUACACAACUCUACAAGCAUGAAUGCAUGAUCAUUGCCUCUUAAACAUAUAUGCUUGUUCAUGGUGGGAUAGUCACGGGGUGCAUCCCCUUUUGUUCAAAAGACGAGUAUAGGCUCUUGUGCAUACUUGUGGGUUGAUAUAUGUGAAACCACGUAUUCAGGUAUGUAAUAUUUCUCCAGUAAUUGAACUAGAAUGAAGUUGCUGUUAGAGACUUAGAGUAGCUCAUGUAACAGUAUGCUUACAAUUUGUAUUGAACUAUAUUGCCUUGUUCCAAGUAGCUUUCAUAUCCUAUUCUUGUUCUCAGUAGUCUGUAAUGUUAUACCCUAUCAUUGAAUCUGUGCCUAAAUAGCAUAGUUGAUCCAAUGCUUUUGUAUGUCUUAGGAACUUGUCCACUUCCCAGAUAUUGGAGUGUUGAGCAACUUUUGGAAUAAGUCGUAAGUAUCCAUAUCUUCAUCCCAUCACUUAUUCAUACAAUUUGUAUUGAACACAUUCUAUAGGUUUCCAGUUAUGUAUGUUAGUCUUUAGCUUUCUAGAAUUAGACAAUAGGCAUAUACAUCAUCCAUGUAAGCUAGUUGUGGGGAAUUCAGGAUUGAUAACUUGUCCAUGCCAUUUAAAUUUAUUUUUCUCAAAUAAUUUUCAUAUAAGCAGGUAAUAUUCUCUAUAAAUAGAUGUUUUGUGCCUUCAGUUCAGCAAGUGAUAUUGUUUUUAUACUUGCUGUUUAUUUGUUUGUUUUAGUUAUAUCCAAGUCCAUAUGAAUUGAGUAAUUCUUUUGAAGUUGGUGAAUGAAGCAAUUUUAAUUCAAAAUUUUUUGUAGUAUUGGACAUGAUGGUAGCUGAAUGUUAUAUAUUGAUCUAUACUUUCCUAUAUCAUUGUGAGUUCUAUACUAUUCUUAGUUCAUUGUUUUCAUGCUCCUACAUCAGUUGUCAAAUUGCAUAUAUAUGCAUUGUAAUUACUACACUCUUUAAAUACAUGUUUCAAAUUUGACAGGGUUUUGGGAUGAAAGUCAGUAAUUACAUAUUGGUGAAUUAAGGAGGCUACUAGCAUGCAGGUGCUCCUCAACAAGAUUAACUAGCUGAAGAGAAAACACCAGGACUAUCAGUAGUUGCGAGGCCGUUUUCAGUGACUAUCCAAAAAAGAUCGAAAAGAGUAUAGUUGCAAGAACACCGGAAGCCUUCACUCAUGAACUUAUAUUUAUGAGGAGACUAGUUAGAUAAAAUAGAUGAAGCUUUGAAUGGAAGGAACAAAUGCUCUCCGAUUUCAUGUAUAAACAUUUGAGAAAUGUAAUAGGUCAUCAACUUAUUGAAUUAAUUUUUUGUAUAGUGGAAUUGAAAUAAAUAUGCAGUGAAUUUGAAAUUAUUUUUUUCCAAAUACAAAACUGGAUUUUAGCAAAAAUAAUAUAUAUAUGUAUAAUUAAAAAGAAAUUAAGCUGAAAAUUUUCACUAAAAACGACUUCUGAGUCUAUAUCAGAUAACAGUUAUAAGAACAAGCGUGUUAUGAUCAGUGAUCACACAAUUGUUACUCUGUAAAACCGUGAUGUGAUUGUAUGUCACACGACAAAAAAUAUGUCGAUACGUUGUCGACAUACGUCGGCAUCUCAUGGCUGUCGAUAUAUGUCGACAGCAGUCAGACGACUUUUCUACAAUACAUCAGACGGCACGGAAAAAGACAACGGUAAUCUGAACAAUCAGAAGACGUUUUUGGCCGUGGUCUUAUGCUUUUUUUGUGGUAGUGACUCGCCGUGGAGGGAAAGUGAUCGGGGACGCUGCUGGAUUCCACUGGGGUGGAGGCAUGCUGUCGUCGGUGCCGGACGGUGGCAAACGGAGGGAUGUGCGCACUUUAAGCCAGUGCGGACGUGCGCUCCACAUCCGGCCUGUAUAUAUAUAUAUAUAGAAAUGUUCCAAAGCGGACGUCCGCACUCAGCUUAAAGUGCGGACAUCCUUCCGUUCACCANNNNNNNNNNNNNNNNNNNNNNNNNNNNNNNNNNNNNNNNNNNNNNNNNNNNNNNNNNNNNNNNNNNNNNNNNNNNNNNNNNNNNNNNNNNNNNNNNNNNNNNNNNNNNNNNNNNNNNNNNNNNNNNNNNNNNNNNNNNNNNNNNNNNNNNNNNNNNNNNNNNNNNNNNNNNNNNNNNNNNNNNNNNNNNNNNNNNNNNNNNNNNNNNNNNNNNNNNNNNNNNNNNNNNNNNUGUAUAUAUAUAUAUAUAUAUAUAUAUAUAUAUAUAUACACACGGAGCCGUUCCAAAGAGGACGUCCGCACAGCCCUUAAAGUGUGGACAUCCCUCCGUUCUCCACCAUACAGCUCCGACGACGGCGGGUCUCCACCCUGGCGGCCUCCAGCAGCGUCUCCGAUCACUUUUCCUCUCCGGCGAGUCCGCCAAAAUCCAGUUUUCCGACGAGAUCACCUAAAACUUCAAACAAAAUCGAUCUUGCCGGAAAACUGGAAUUCGACGGACUCGCCGGGGAGGGAAAGUGAUCGGGGAUGCUACUAGAGGCGGCUAGGGUGGAGGCGCGCCGUCAUUGGAGCCGUACGGUGGAAAACGUUCUGACGUCCGCACUUUAAGGGCGUGCGAACGUCUGCCUCUGAUCCCGAGGUUAUCUUCUUGUUAGUUUUUGAUAUGCCAUCUGCUACAGAGAGACUCGUACCAGGAAGUACCUUGGUUGAUUAUCACCAAAAACAUUAUUAUAUCUGAUUUCGUACAAUGAAAGGACGCCAAUUGAUUUUUGCAAGCCAUGGAUCUCACAUCUUUCUAACAGAAAGUGUUCCGAGUAACAAAAUCAUAAGAAUGAUAUUUUACAACAUGCAGCAAAUUAAAAUUUUGAGCACAUAUCAAAUGCUUGCGAAUUUGCCUCUACUAAUACAAAUUAAUGCGAUCGAUUUGUUGGCAUGAAAAGCAUCUCAUUGCCAGACUACUAUUAGAAUAAGUGUGCACUCUUGAACUAAUAUUUCUUUACACAGAUUGGUUCUCAUAAACGAAUCCAAGGCAUCUGUAGCGCACAAAAAAAAUGCCAGCAACGUAACAGAACUUUAGCUAAUGCCAGUAAUUUUUACCAUCGAUCUGCUACCAUUAGUGUCCCUCUGUAUCAUCAAAUAGGUACAUAGUAACCUGUAUUCAUUCUUAGACAUGUCAGUUAUGCGGUGUUACACCUUCAGAUUUGACAGUUUUGACCACUACGAGAAAGGAUGGCACACUAUAAAUGGUCCCAAUAACGGUAUCCGGCACAUAAAACCCUUGUUCAUCUGUAGUAAGGACUUCGACAAGUUUAUCAGAUAGCUCAAACACCUGUUUUAACCUCCCCUCUUUGUUAGGCUAAUGUGGUGAUUUCUGAAGCCAUGCUUGAAGCAAACACACAAGAGCAGAGGCUUUUGAAGUACCUUAGCCCAGUCCUUUCAGAGUAAGUGUUAAACUGAGCAUACUCAAACUAGACAGGUUUUCGAGUAUGACCUUGCCCAACAAAGUAUAGUCAUCUAUUUUUUCCACCUGGACUUUAGAACCACACCCAGACACUCAUUUACCUGAUUUAGAAAGAGAGAGGAAAAAUUAUAAGCUUGGUGACAUAAAUAUUAUGUUCUUCUACAAUGACAUUAGCUAUGGAAAAAGUUUCCAAGAGCACAAGCUUGGAAUAUUGAACAACUUGCUUGUUGAUAAGGAAGAUGCAUCAAAUGACACGAAGAAGAUACCUAGAGAAGGUAACAACAUAUUGCACGCCAAAGAGAUCAAUCAGUAAUCAAGCAGCUCGAAGAAAAGUCAUUUUACAGUGGCUCCACCAAACACUUCAAAAUACUUUCUUCCCUCCACAGGAGGACAUGAGAUGAUAAUAGAAAGCAUUUUCUUUCAAAGUCCCUCCCUACUUUUAGGCAUAAUUGAGAAUUGGAGAACAAUUUAGAAAAUUAUGGAGACCAUUACAUCAUACAUCAAGCAUGUAAACACACAGGUAUAAAUAAAACUAAUUGAACACACAAACUCUCACGCAUAUGAACAGAAACAAAACAAACACCAAAGAAUAGAGAAUAUAGUAUGCAUAGCAACAUGAGAGUUGGGAUAUCCCAGGACUCCAGGAACCUUAGUAAAGUCAGAAAUGACUGUUAUAGUAGAGUAUCAAAACCACAACUUAGAAAAGAGAAUGCUAACCUCAAUGCUUGCUCACUCAAUGUAUUCAUCAACAUAACACCUGGAAGUAUAAAACCUGUCUUGAUCAUCCUGCACGUAAGCCGAAAAGAAAAAAAAAUAGAAAACGACUUCAGAUACCCAAAUCAUGACUCUAACUACAUGCAACAAUGUAAGUCAACUGAGGAAGAGAUGUAAAUUCCUUAAACAAGGGGAUCAAUUACACAAUUCCAAACAGCGCAUAGAAGGUAACAACAAGAAUAGGGCAUGAAGAAGUUAAUGGAAUAUAUCAUGUAAUGAUGUAUCCAAUGCCACUAUCACUACACAUCCCAGUCACCCAGUUUAAAUGUCAAUUUUCUGUGUUCUUCUCUAAUACAAAUCUUCCUAACCCAUCAGACAUCAUCACAGCAUCCUCCCAGUUCCCUGCAUUAGCAAAUCUUUUCAUAACUAAACAUACAGUGUUAGGCGUUUUACAAUAAAAAAAAAAAAAAAAACAUAUAGUAUUGGUGUCUACUAGAUGAUCCUGAUGCAUUCUCUCUAACAAAUACAUAGUCUUAUAUCCAGCUGCCUCGUUUUACCUAAAAUGUCGAUGAUCACAUCAUAUGCAUAGCCAAAUCGUAAACCAACCCAUCUAGACACACCCAAUGCUAAAUUCCAACCCAUUCUUAAACUCGAACAAAAAAAAAAACUGAUCAACAAGGUCAUGUGUGAGAUGAAUGCUAUUAAAUACAUGACCAUCUUCAAUGGAUCAACAUACAUUCUGGAUAUGAUAAAUUGAUAAUGUCCUACACCCAGAGUAGCUUGUUAAGCUUAAAACCUAGAAUCCAGAUUAGCUUAAAGCCCAAAAGCCCUACACCCUUCAUACAUAUAAUUGCAGUACUGAUUGACUUGUAGAGAAAAGAGAACUCUUUUACAAAGUUCAAUAACAUCUGUCUAUUAAUGGCAUUAGGCAAAUCUGGCCUAACCUCUAUCUAACCUUGAUGGCAUUGAAUCUAAUGCCAUGAGUGGCUGUUUUCGAAAUCAGUUAACUGUAGACAAAUUCAAAACUACAGACAAAACCCAGGCAGUUAUCAGCUACGAAUCACAUAGGUCAAAAACUAACAUCACACUGAAGUACAUAAAAAAAAAUAAAAAAAAUAAAUCUUCUUCCUAAACUUGCACAGUUAACAAACAAUAGAAUAUAAAUUAAAACCAGACAAGCAUAUAAUAUUUGGUAAAACUUUGCUUUAUUAGCACAUUCACAUUUCCAGAAGGCAUCAAAAUCCUAGAAUGUGCAUAGUGAUUCAGACGAGGAUAUUAAUAAAAGUAAAGCCGACACAUUUAAUUUUGAGUGCGUAAGAGGAUUAAGGUAUGUAAUUUCCUGUAAUCUAAUUGUAUAAUCAUUACUGAAACUAUUAUUCACUGAACAUCUAAUACUAUGAGAUUAUUAGUCAACAGACGACAUGUGCAAGACUUACAGAUACUCCCAAAGGAUCAAAUGAGAGAUAACCAGAACGAAGUAAUAAAAGUUACCUUAUAUAGAGUACAUACACAGAAGGCAGAAGCAGAAAACUUUUUUCACAUUUCAAAGUGAAAUGGAGAUGCCAUUAGUAGAACAGUUCACUUUGAAGUCCUCUUAUCUGGCUUCAAUAAACGUCUUUACUUCAACUCACUGGGAUUGCUAUUCCUUUCUGCUCAACUGUAGAUGACGACUACUAAAUGAAAUUAUGUAGUCCUUAGAAUAUUAAUAAAAUUGUAUGUUCAUUAGAUCGGUAAGUUUCAACAAAAGAGAACAACGCACCAAGAAUUAAAAUUACAAACUGCAAGGAAUUCAUGAACCAAAAGAGUUCCAGUUUCAAGUUUCUUUUGGUUCCCUUAAUCGAUCAGUCAUGGUUUUACAUAGCAACACAAAGUAACUUGAGCAAAUUGAUAUCGUUUUGUUAUGCCCAACUCGUCAAAAGCAGAUCAUAUAGUGUGGUUAAAAAGGAAAAAUGUGUAUGCAGAACCACAUUAGAGGGUAUAGAGACUACAGGGGCACCAAAUACUUCAAGAGUUCAAGGUCAUCAUGUCAUAAUGAUAUAAAACAGCACCAAGUCCCCUAUUUAAAGUCAAUCCUAAUAAUCACCAAAGCUCAUUAGGUACCUUAUAUUUGAAACAUCCGAAUCCAAAACUGCUGGAAUACAUGGAUGAAGCAAUGCAUCAGCCCUUUAACUUAAGAAGAACCAUGCUCAUGGCCCUUCUUUUUACAGGUGUCGAUCUUCCCUUUAAAACCUCCAUCAUAGCCUUUGCAUUUGGAACAAACCCCAUACCAAUCAUCACCUCCACCAACUCUUUUCCCUCCUCCUCAGCUGCCUUGUCCUCCUGCUUUGCAAAGGCCUCUAUCACCGCAGUGUAGGUAGAAGCAUUGGGCCGCUUCCCUUUAUCCAUCAUCUGAAACAAGCACUUCUUGGCAUCUCCAUAGAAGUUGGGGUCCGUAGUGAGUCCCUUGAUUAAAAGAGUGUAAGUGUAGGAGUUUGGGGCGACCCCAGCAGCUAACAUGUCCUUGUAAGCCUCAAGACACCCUUGAUCUUCCCAGCCUUGAGGUAAGCCUCAAUAACGGUGGUACGGAUUAGGACCAUAGGAUGUGUGCCCGUCAACCCCGUCUGAAUGACGGUCGUAGCAAACUCCCUGGCCUCGUCUACAUAGCCAUCUUUUACCAGAGCAUUGUGCAUCUUGAUUGACUCUUUCUUGAAGCUACGUCCACUGGUGUACCACUUGCGGAAGACCUUUUGCAUAUCCUUGUCAAUUGUCUUGUUGACAAGAUCAUUGUACAACUUUAUUGCCUUCAACACCUCUGUGUAGUGGCCUUGGCCUUGGCCAAAAUAGAAACUAGGGACCUCAGGGCUAAACCCCUUUGCUUGUAUCUGCCCAAGGAACUCCCUGGCUUCCUCCUCUGGCUCCCGACAGGCAAUGGCAUUCAAGAUAGAAAAGUAGGACACAGAAUGGGGCUUUAACCCCUUAUCCAACAUUUCCAUAAAAUACUUCUUGGUAAGGCCAACAAAACUGGGAUCCGAAGAGUCUUUUGCAAGGGCAAUGAUGAGUAAGUGUGGGAGGAAGGGGAGACACCAGAGGCUAACAUGUGCUGGUAGACCUUGAGAGCAGCCUUCCGUUAAAGGCAUAUGCUCCGAUGACAAAGGUGAAGACAGCCACAUCAGGCAGCACGGCCUGCAGAUCAGCAAGGCCAGCAUUUGCAUGUUCGUUAAGGUCAUCAUAGUUUCGAAUCGAUGCGAAAAUGUCCUCACAGUAUUUGGUAGCCUCAUCAAAAACCUCCAUCACGUGUUUCUUGAGGUCAUCAGCACAAGAAUUGGCCAUUGAUUUGAUAGUUGGCUGGAGAUUAAUAGUUGAAAAAUGAGAAAAGCAAAUAGAGACCCAAAUCAGCCCAAUUAGUAAAGUUGAGGUUUUUACUACUUAUAAACAAACAAUCAACCAGCCAUCGAGGAUCAAAACUAUACUUGAAACCCAGAGCAGAAAUGAAAUUGCGAUUUGUAUUCAAUCACUACAAACUCAUUAAACCCUAGUAGUUGCUAGUUGUAUAAGAGAGAAUAAGGUCAAUAAAAUAAAACCUGGCUUAGGGUUUCGACGAUGAGACCACAGAUGAUAGAGAAAAGCUCACUAAACUUCCUGUGGCGAUUUCCGGCAGUUGCUCCUCUUUAGCAACUUUGGGGGAGGGAAGAGUAGAACAAUACUCUUGAGUAAGAGAAAUGGAGGACACUUCUUUUUAGACAAAUUUCCGAUGACUAAAAUAUCCCCGACGAUCACGUAAGUCGGUGGUUUGAAAAAAUGAAAUUUUGAUAGAUAUAUUGAGAAAAUAUUGAAUAUCGAUGGAAUUUUUAUUCAAAUUUAUAUAAAAAUUAUAUAUUCGAUCAAAAAUAAACCAAAUAUAAAGGCUAGUGUUAUUAACACUUCAUUUUGUAUCAUUAACACACCCCGUCUAUUUUCUUAUCCACACAUUUUAAUUUUAUUUAUAAACUUACCACUUAAAUUUGUUUUAUAAUUAGUUCUCAUUAUAGAUGGGUGUGUUAAUAACACAAAAAUAUGUGUUAAUAACACUAAUCAAUAUAAAAUAUCAGAAAUAUAUGAAAAUUAAUAUCGGUGUUUGUUAAAAACGGAAAUUUCAAGAAAAUAUCAAGGAUAUUGUGGAUAUUUUAGUCCUUGCAAAUUUUAAAUUUUGCGGAAAGGAAAGUAGUUCUUUCAUCUCUCCCAUGGGAAGGGAAAGUGAACGGAAUGAAAUUUCAAAAAAAGUUUUCAUUCCGAUGUUUAGUAACGUAAGGAAAAUCAUUAGGAAAGUUCUUAAAAAAUAUAAUAAAAUAUUAUAAUAUAAGUAAUAAAUAUAGGAAAAAAAGAAACGAAACUAGUUCCAUUAGAUUUUGGAAGAAGCCACUUUCCCCCAUAUUUUCCCUUCAAUCAGGAAAGUCUUUCCUUUCCUUUGGCUUUCCCACAUGUAAUGUCACAUCCCGACCCUUAAAUUUUUACCUUAUUUACUAGUUUGGUAUUAAUAAGAAUUUUACCGUCUCCGUCAAUGAGUUAUGGUUUACUUGGUCCUUAGAGGGGUUUUGGGGGACGUUUAUUUCGGAGGAAUUAUUCGUAGGAGAAAAGUGUGACGACGGUAAAAAUGGUAAAUUUUAGCUAGUAAAAGGUAAUUUUUAGGAUUAAUUACUGGUCACUCCAUUAACUUUCAUGCGCUCGACAGUUUAUUCCAUUAACUUUCAAUUUCAAUCGAUUACUCCAUUAACUAUCCAAUGUCACACAAUUAGGUCCAUCCGUUAAGUGGCCGUCCAAAUCAGUGGUUAAGUUGCUGAUUGGACAUAUUUUUCAACUGAAAAUUCCAUUUAACACCCCACCUCUCUCUCUCUCNNNNNNNNNNNNNNNNNNNNACUACUACUACCUACCUACCUCCUCCUCUCUCUCUCUCUCUCUCUCUCUCUCUCUCUCUCUCUCUCUCUCUCUCACACAUUUAAAACCCAUCAGCCAACCAUGGCUUCCCACUUUUCUCUCUCCGCCAUUUCUCUCAUCACCCUCCUCUUCCUCGCCGAACGCCGCCUCAUCCAUCACCAUCGGCGUCACCUAUUCCGCCUCCACCGUCGCCACUUGCCCCACCCCUUCGCUACAGGAGCGUGUGGCCUCGACCAUUACUUCUCUCAGCCUCGCCGCCGUCCGCCUUGACGUCUCUGACCCCAACCUCGUCCGCGCCUUCCUCUACUCCAACACCACCCUCCUCAUCACCAUCCCCAACGCGCUGGUGUCCCAUCUCUGGCCGCCAACCGCACCAACACCCUCUGUUGGCUCACCGUUCAACACUUCCAAUUCCCAAAUCUGAAAUUUUAGGGAUUGAAAUCCCCAAUUCCCAAAUUUGUUUCCAAUCAAACAAAUGGCUUCAAUUUCAUAUAGAGGAAGGGGAGGCGAGUGAGAAGAGGUUGUUGACUGGGGAUUCGAAGUGGUUGAGAUUUCAAGUCUAGCACGGUUUGAAGCGGAAAACGGAAGGGCUUCAUGGAUGGUGUUGUUUUGGAUUUGGUUGGCGGCGAAGGGAGAAGAUUGUUGUGAGGGUUUGAGUUUUGGGCUUCGAGAGAGAGAUGCGAGGUACGUGGGUUUGAGAUUUUGGCGUUGGGAGAGAGAUGUCGAGGAGCUGCGGGGUGAACUACUGGUGGUGUGGUUGGUUGCUGGUGGUCUGGUUGCGGUGUGUUUGAUUACGGUGUUGAUGUGGUUGGUUGGUUGGUUGCUGGUAUUGUUGUUGCGGUGUUGUUGAAAGUCCAACUGGUGAUGUGGUGGCGUUGUGGUUGCAGAGGAGGUGGAGGAGGAGAGAGAAGAGAUUGAAGAGAUUAAAGAGGGAGGGAGGGAGGGUGUUAAAUGGAAUUUCUAGUUGAAAAAUAUGUCCAGUCAGCAACUUAACCACUGAUUUGGACGGCCACUUAACGGAUUGACCUAAUUGUGUGACAUUGGAUAGUUAAUGGAGUAAUCGAUUGAAAUUGAAAGUUAAUGGAGUAAACUGUCGAGCGCAUGAAAGUUAAUAGAGUAACCAGUAAUUAAUCCUAAUUUUUAUUAGGGUAUUAUUUCGUGGUGUUAGUUCUGGAGUUGGGUUUAUUGUUUAGUGUGGGUAUUAAGUGUUGGACCGGUUUGGGGAGGCCCAAACCAUUUCUCUUUUCUCUUUUCUCUUUUCUCUUUUCUCUUCCUUCUCUUCUUUCCCCGACUCUCCCUCUUCCUCUCGCACUGCCGGAAACCCCCGAGCUCCCAUCGCCACCGUCCGGCCAAGAGGAGACGCCGCACCUGUUCAGCUCAGUCUGUCUCCCUCUCCGCCAUCUUCCUGGGUUGGUGAGCGGCGCUGCAACGCCACCGAGCGGAGGAAGUUCUCCUUAGAAGCCCGGUGGUCUUCUCGCCGGAACUCUCUCCUCCGACUGCUAUAGCCGGCGAUUCUUGGGUCGUUUGGAAGCUCUUCUCCCGUGCAUCAAUCUCUCCAAAGGCUUCCUUCCCCUUGGUUUAGGUAAGGAGAUUUUGGUGUUGGAAAUUCUAUGACUCAUUUGAUGUUUUUUUUCGAUUACCCUAUCUAGGCUUGGAAUUUGUGUUUGUGCUAGUUAGAAAAGUUGUAGAGGGGGUUGAGAGGAAGAUGCUGUUAAAUUUUGGUAGGCAUUGGGGUCCCCGGAGUCGGCCGCCGUUGCCGGCGGAGCAGACGGCGGCGGCGCCGCUGUUAGAGGGAUUUUCAUGGUUUUAAAUGUAUAAUAUUAAGGGGAGUUUAAUGAUGUGAAGUGUGGAUUUUUGGAGGAGUUUUGGAUAGGUUUGAGAUUUUUAAAAGAUUGGUGAAUUUGGCGGUUAAUAGGGUAGAAUCCGUACGUUGGAUUUUCUUUAUUAUUGUUUUAGAAUGUUGAAAUAAAAGAAAUAAGGUUGUGGUUCGAAUUUGGCGUGAAUCCAAUAAGCUUAACCCUAGAAAGGGUAAUGGGUUAGGCGGAAGAGUUUUGGGUUAUAUAUUUAAGUAUUAUUUAUUUCUGAAAUUGAAGUUUGGUCCUAAGCAUGGUUAUUGUGCCAGGAUUCGAGGAGACCUCACUUGAGUGGCGAAUUAGACUUCAUCGGGCUUAUCUUAUGCCUAAAGUUGUGAGUGGACGUUCGUUUUAAAUUAUAAGCAUACGGUGAUUUCAUAUUAAAUGAAUGAUUUUAUUGAAUAUCAAUUUGUGGAAUUGUUUAUUUUCGCGAAGUUAUUUUUGGAAGUAAAUGCUCUUAUUUUAUUUGUUAACUUCGCUAUUUGGGAAGUUACCGAAAAUGAGAUUUUCUGUGGAGUCAUAUAUUUAUUGCUUCUGUUAUAAUUGACAAUUUUCAUUAUUUUUUAAGAGUUACCGAAAAUGAUAUUUUCGGUGGAUAUGUAUAUAGAUGAUUAUGAGGAUAGUAUGUAUAUAAAUAAAUGCUAGCUAGCUAUACGUGCAUUUCUGCCAUAAUG
rnacentral:lncRNA from 1 species